rnacentral:lncRNA from 1 species
UUAUUCAUGCUAGAAUUGUAUUAACCGGAAACAUGAUACAUGUGUGAAUACAUAGACAAACAGAGUGUCACUGGUAUGCCUCUACUUGACUAGCUCGUUUAUCAAAGAUGGUUAUGUUUCCUAGCCGUAGACAUGAGUUGUCAUUUGAUUAACGGGAUCACAUCAUAAGGAGAAUGAUGUGAUUGACUUGACUCAUUUCGUUAGCUUAGCACUUGAUCGUUUAGUAUGUUGCUAUUGCUUUCUUCAUGACUUAUACAUGUUCCUAUGACUAUGAGAUUAUGCAACUCCCGUUUACUAGAGGAACACUUUGUGUGCUACCAAACAUCACAACAUAACUGGGUGAUUAUAAAGGUGCUCUAUAGGUUUCUCUGAAGGUACUUGUUGAGUUGGCAUAUUUCGAGAUUAGGAUUUGUCACUCCGAUUGUCGGAGAGGUAUCUCUGGGCCCACUCUGUAAUGCACAUCACUAUAAGCCUUGCAAGCAUUGUAACUAAUGAGUUAGUUGCGGGAUGAUGUAUUACAGAAUGAGUAAAGAGACUUGCCGGUAAUGAGAUUGAACUAGGUAUUGAGACGAUCGAAUCUCGAGCAAUAACAUACCGAUGACAAAGGGAACAACGUAUGUUGUUAUGCGGUUUGACUGAUAAAGAUCUUCGUAGAAUAUGUGGGAGCCAAUAUGAGCAUCCAGGUUCUGCUAUUGGUUAUUGACCGAAGACGUGUCUCGGUCAUGUCUACAUAAUUCUCGAACCCAUAGGGUCCGCACGCUUAAAGUUCGGUGACGAUCGGUAUUAUGAGUUUUGUGUUUUGAUGUACCGAAGGUAGUUUGGAGUCCUGGAUGUGAUCACGGACAUAACGAGGAGUCUGGAAAUGGUUGAGACGUAAAGAUCGAUAUAUUGGACGACUAUGUUCGGACACCGAAAAGGUUCUGAAAGGUUUCGGACAUAUAUCGGAGUACCAGGGGUUACCNNNNNNNNNNNNNNNNNNNNNNNNNNNNNNNNNNNNNNNNNNNNNNNNNNNNNNNNNNNNNNNNNNNNNNNNNNNNNNNNNNNNNNNNNNNNNNNNNNNNNNNNNNNNNNNNNNNNNNNNNNNNNNNNNNNNNNNNNNNNNNNNNNNNNNNNNNNNNNNNNNNNNNNNNNNNNNNNNNNNNNNNNNNNNNNNNNNNNNNNNNNNNNNNNNNNNNNNNNNNNNNNNNNNNNNNNNNNNNNNNNNNNNNNNNNNNNNNNNNNNNNNNNNNNNCCAAACCAAAUUGGUUUAGGGCAAGGGGGGCCGGCCCCCUCUUUCCUUCUCCUCCUCUCCCUUUCCUUCCCCCUCUCCUACUCCUACUAGGAAUAGGAGUCCUACUCCUAGUGGGAGUAGGACUCCCCCUUGGCGCGCCUCUCCCUAGCCAGCCGCCUCCUCGCCCUUGCUCCUUUAUAUACGGGGGCAUGGGCACCCCAUAGACACAACAAUUGAUCAUUGAUCUCUUAGCCGUGUGCGGUGCCCCCUCCACCAUAAUCCACCUCGAUCAUAUCGUAGCGGUGCUUAGGCGAAGCCCUGCGUCGGUAGCAUCAUCAUCACCGUCACCAUGUCGUCGUGCUGACAAAACUCUCCUGUGAAGCUUUGCUGGAUCGGAGCUCGCGGGACGUCAUCGAGUUGAACGUGUGCAGAAGUCAGAGGUGUCGUGAGUUCGGUACUAGGAUCGGUCGGAUCGUGAAGACGUACGACUACAUCAACCAUGUUGUGCUAACGCUUCCGCUUUCGGUCUACGAGGGUACGUGGACACACUCUCCCCUCUCGUUGCUAUGCAUCACCAUGAUCCUAUGUGUGCGUAGGAUUUUUUUGAAAUUACUACGCUCCCCAAUAGUUUGGACACCGGAAAGGUUUCGGAUGAGUUCGGGCAUUUUUGGGAGUACCGGGGGCUUACCGGAACCCCCCAGGGAGUUAAUGGGCCAUGGUGGAAGAGAGGACGAGGCGGCCAAGUGGUGGGGCGCGCCCCCAACCCCAAUCUGAAUUGGGGAGGGGGCCGGCCCCCCUUUCCUUCUCUCCCUCUUCCCGUUCCUCCCCCCUCCUAGUUGGACUAGGAAAGGGGGGGGAACCUACUCCUAGUAGGAGUAGGAAUCCCCCCUUGGGGCGCGCCAUAGGAGGCCAGCCCUCCCCUCCUCCACUCCUUUAUAUACGGGGGAGGGGGCACCCCAUAGACACACAAGUUGAUCUCUUAGCCAUGUGCGGUGCCCCCAUCCAUAGAUUUCCACCUCGGUCAUAUUGUCGUAGUGCUUAGGCGAAGCCCUGCGUCGGCAACUUCAUCAUCACCAUCACCACGCCGUCGUGCUGAUGAAUCUAUCCCUCGGCCUCAGCUGGAUCUAGAGUUUGAGGGACGUCACCGAGCUGAACGUGUGCAGAUCACGGAGGUGUCAUGUAUUCGGUACUUGAUCGGUUGGAUCGCGAAGAUGUUCGACUACAUCAACCGCGUUACUUAACGCUUUCGCUUUCGGUCUAUGAGGGUACGUGGACACACUCUCCCCGCUCGUUUCUAUGCUUCUCCUAGAUAGAUCAUGCGUGGUCGUAGGAUUUUUUUUUGAAAUACUACGUUCCCCAACAACUAACUCAUUAGUCACAUUUUUGCAAGGCUUAUAGUGAUGUGCAUUACCGAGAGGGCCCAGAGAUACCUCUCCGAUACUCAGAGUGACAAAUCCUAAUCUUGAUCUAUGCCAACUCAACAAACACCUUUGGAGACACCUGUAGAGCAUCUUUAUAAUCACCCAGUUACGUUGUGACGUUUGAUAGCACACAAGGUGUUCCUCCGGUAUUCGGGAGUUGCAUAAUCUCAUAGUCAGAGGAAUAUGUAUAAGUCAUGAAGAAGGCAAUAGCAAUAAAACUAAACGAUCAUUAUGCUAAGCUAAUGGAUGGGUCUUGUCCAUCGGGUCAUUCUCUAAUGAUGUGAUCCCGUGCAUCAAAUGACAACACAUGUCUAUGGUCAGGAAACUUAACCAUCUUCGAUUAACGAGCUAGUCAAGUAGAGGAAUACUAGGGACACUCUGUUUGUCUAUGUAUUCACACAUGUACUAAGUUUGUGGUCAAUACAAUUCUAGAAUGAAUAAUAAACAUUUAUCAUGAUAUAAGGAAAUAUAAAUAACAACUUUAUUAUCAUGAUAUAAGGAAAUAUAAAUAACAACUUUAUUAUUGCCUCUAGGGCAUAUAAGUGGGUUUAUGGCAUAUGGGAGUAAAGAGGACUUGAUACUUAAUGCUAUGGUUGGGUUUCACGACCUUAAUGAUCUGUAGUAGUUGUGGAUGCUUGCUAGGGGUCCAAUCAAAAGUGCAUAUGAUCCAAGUAGAGAAAGUAUGUUAGCUCAUGCCUCUCCCUCAUGUAAAAUUACAAGAAUGAUUACCGUUACUUGUUAUCGAUUGCCUAGGGACAAAUGAUUUCCUUGUUGACAAAUGCUAUCUGAUAAGCCACAAGUAUAGGGGAUAAAUUGUAGCCUCUUUUCAUAAGUAAGAGUGUCGAACCCAACAAGGAGCUAAAGGUAGAACAAAUAUUCCCUCAAGUUCUAUCGACCACUGAUACAACUCUACGCACGCUUAACGUUCGCUUUACCUAGAACAAGUAUGAAACUAGAAGUACUUUGUAGGUGUAACGGGAUAGGUUUGCAAGAAUAUAAAGAGCACGUGAAUAAAAACUAGGGGAUGUUUUAGGUAAAGAAGCAAUAAAGUUAGUAAAGCGAGUGUGGAAAAGUGGUGGUAGGAGUUGCGAAAUUGUCCCUAAGCAAUUGGCUACUUUACUAGAUCGAUAGCAAGUUUUAUGUGGGAGAGGCCACUGCUAGCAUGUCAUCCCUGACUUGGAAUUCUAUGCACCUAUGAUUGGAACUAUUAGCAAUCAUCCGCAACUACCAACGUUCAUUAAGGUAAAACCCAACCAUAGCAUUAAGAUAUAUCGGUCCCCCUUCAAUAACGUAUGCAUCAAUUUCUAUGCUAGGUUGAAGCUUAUGUCACUCUUGCCCUCCAAUAUAUAGUCCUAUCAACAUACAACUAAACCUAUGGUGUGAUCCACGCGCGCGCUCAUAUGAUGGGCACCAAAGGAUAGCAACAUAACCACAAGCAAAUUAUAGCAAUCAUAGCAAUUCACCAAUUACCGAUAGGACAACGAAAGUCUACUCAGACAUCAUAGGAUGGCAACACAUCAUUGGAUAAUAAUAUGAAGCAUAAAGCACCAUGUUAAAGUAGAGGGUACAUCGGGUUGCGAGAGAGUGUACCGCUGUAGAUAGAUGGGGGAAGAUGAUAAAGAUGUUGGUGAAGAUGACAGAGGUGUUGGUGUAGAUUGCGGUGACACGAUGAUGGCCCCGGCGGCGUUCCGACGCCACCGGAAGAUAGGGGAGAGCCCCCCUUCUUCUUCUUCCUUGACCUUAUCCCUAGUUGGGAGAAGGGUUUCCCCUCUGGUCCAUGGCCUCCAUGGCGGCGGAGGGCCGAGAGCCCCUCCGAGAUUGGAUCUAUCUCUCUGUUUCCGCGUUUCAGAUUCUGGCCUUUCACCGUUUCUUAUAUUCCCGGAGAUUUGUAACUCUGAUUGGGCUGAAAUUUCAACCCGAUUUGUAUCCAGAUAUUGGCUUUCUUGCGCCGAAAGAAGGGCACCAACCACCUUAGGGUCAGGGGCGUGCCACCCUGCCUUGUGGCCCCCUCGGGCAUCGUCUCAUGUUGAUUCUUCUUCCCAAAAAUCACAUAUAUUCCAAAAAAAUCUCCGUAAGUUUUUAUCCUGUUUGGACUCCGUUUGAUAUGGAUUUUCUACGAAACAAAAAACAUGCAACAAACAGGAACUGGCACUAGGCACUGGAUCAGUAUGUUAGUCCCAAAAAUAGUAUAAAAAGUUGCCAAAAGUAUAUGAAAGUUGUAUAAUAUUGGCAUGGAACAAUGAAAAAUUAUAGAUACGACAGAGACGUAUCAGCAUCCCCAAGCUUAAUUCCUGCUCGUCCUUGAGUAGGUAAAUGAUAAAAAAGAUAAUUUUUGAUGUGGAAUGCUACCUAGCAUAAUCUUGAUCAUGUAAUCUAAUCAUGGCAUGAAUAUUAAGACACGAGUGAUUCAAAGCAAUAGUCUAUCAUUUGACAUUAAGACAAUAAUACUUCAAGCAUACUAAUAAAGCAAUCAUAUCUUUUCAAAAUAACAUGGCCAAAGAAAGUUAUCCCUACAAAAUCAUAUGGUCUGGGUAUGUUCCAUCUUCACCACACAAGGUAUUCAAAUCAUGCACAACCCCGAUGACAAGCCAAGCAAUUGUUUCAUACUUUUGAUGUUCUCAAACCUUUUCAACUUUCACGUAAUACAUGAGCGUGAGCCAUGGAUAUAGCACUAUAGGUGAAAUAGAAUAUGAUGGUGGAGGUUGUGUAGAGAAGACAAAAAGGGAGAAAGUCUCACAUCAACGCGGCUAAUCAACGGGCUAUGGAAAUGCCCAUCAAUUGAUGUCAAUGUGAGGAGUAGGGAUUGCCAUGCAACGGAUGCACUAAGAGCUAUAAGUGUAUGAAAGCUCAAAUUGGAAACUAAGUGGGUGUGCAUCCAACUUGCUUGCUCAUUAAGACCUCGGGCAUUUGAGGAAGCCCAUCAUCGGAAUAUACAAGCCAAGUUCUAUAAUGAAAAUUCCCACUAGUAUAUGAAAGUGAUAACUCAAGAGACUCUCUAUAUGAAGAACAUGGUGCUACUCUGAAGCACAAGUGUGGUAAAAGGGUAGUAACAUUGUCCCUUCUCUCUUUUAUCUCAUUUUUUUGUUUUUUUGGUGGGCUUCUUUGGCCUCUUUUAUUUUUUUGUGGGCUUCUUUGGCCUCUUUUAUUUUUUUGUAAAGUCCAGAGACUCAUCCCAACUUGUGACGGAAUCAGAGCUUCCAUCAUCCUUUCCUCACAUGGGAGAAUUCUCUAAUAAUGAUGAUCAUCACACUUUUAUUUACUUACAACUCAAUAUUACAACUCGAUACUAGAACAAAAUAUGACUCUAUAUGAAUGCCUCCGGCGGUGUACCGGGAUGUGCAAUGAUCUAGCGUAGCAAUGAAAUAAAAAAAUGGACAAGACAUGAAAACAUCAUGCUAGCUAUCUUACGAUCAUGCAAAGCAAUAUGACAAUGAAUGCUCAAGUCAUGUAUAUGAUGAUGAUGGAAGUUGCAUGGCAAUAUAUCUCAGAAUGGCUAUGGAAAUGCCAUGAUAGGUAGGUAUGGUGGCUGUUUUGAGGAAGAUAUAAGGAGGCUUAUGUGUGAUAGAGCGUAUCAUAUCACGGGGUUUGGAUGCACCGGCGAAGUUUGCACCAAAUCUCGAGGUGAGAAAGGGCAAUGCACGGUACCGAAGAGGCUAGCAAUGAUGGAAGGGUGAGAGUGCGUAUAAUCCAUGGACUCAACAUUAGUCAUAAAGAACUCGUAUACUUAUUGCAGAAGACUAUCAGCUAUCGAAACAAAGUACUAGGUGCAUGCUCCUAGGGGGAUAGAUUGGUAGGAAAAGACCAUCGCUCGUCCCUGACCACCACUCAUAAGGAAGACAAUCAAUAAAUACCUCAUGCUCCAACUUCGUUACAUAACGGUUCACCAUACGUGCAUGCUACGGGAAUCACAAACUUCAACACAAGUAUUUCUACAAUCCACAACUACCCACUAGCAUGACUCUAAUAUCACCAUCUUUAUAUCACGGAACUAUUGCAAGGAAUCAAACAUAUCAUAUUCAGUGAUCUACAAGUUUUAUGUAGGAUUUUAUGACUAACCAUGUGAAUGACCAAUUCCUGUCAACUCUCUAAAUAGAUAUAAGUGAAGCAUGAGAGUUUAAUACUUUAUACAAAAUAUAUGCCCACACUAUAAAAAUAUAAGUGAAGCAAAAGAGCAUUCUACAAAUGGCGGUUUUCUAUGUGUAGGGAAACAUGCAAUCCAAACUUCAAAUGAUAUAAGCGAAGCACAUGAAGGAUUAUAUAAAACAAUACUCAAAAGAUAUAAGUGAAGUGCAAAGAGGAUUCUAUAAAUAAACCAUGGAAUAUCUCAUACCAUCAUGGUGCAUCAAAGAAAAGUGAAAACUAAAUGCAAAAUACGCUCCAAGAUUUGCACAUAUCACAUGAACGAAACGAAACCGAAAACAUAUCGAUUCUUGUUGAAGAAAGAUGGGAUGCCUUCCGGGGCAUCCCCAAGCUUAAACGCUUGAGUCUCCUUGAAUAUUUACUUGGGGUGCCUUGGGCGUCCCCAAGCUUGAGCUCUUGCCUCUCCUCCUUCUCCUCAUAUCGAGACCUCCUCGAUCUUUGAUCACUUCAUCCACACAAAACUCAACAGAAAGCUCGGUAAGAUCCGUUAGUAUAAUAAAGAAAAUCACUAAUCUAAGUACUGUUGGAAACCAAUUCAUAUUUAUUUUUUGCAUUGUAGCUACUGUAAUAUAACUUUUCCAUGGCUUAAUCCACUGAUAGAAAUCGAUAGUUUCAUCAAAACAAGCAAACUAUGCAUCAAAAACAGAAUCUGUCUUAAACAGGACAGUCUGUAGUAAUCUGAACAUUCACCAUACUUCUGUUACUCCAAAAAUUCUGAAACAAAUAGGAAAAAUAAAAACUUUGUAUAUAAAUACAGUGCAAAAGGUUUCAGAACCGUUUGACAUUCCAGUAAAAAAUGUAAAAUCGCGCACUACAGCCAAAGUUUCUGUUUUGCACCGCACGAACCAACAAGCAAUCUAAACAUCCUAAAGGCAAAUCUUGGCACAUUAUUUUUAUGAUACAAUGGAUUUGUACAAGGGGAUAAUUAUUUUUGUUGAAAAUUUUGUGUAAUCUAGGGUCACAAAGUUUCCAUUGGCAUGAAGUUCAAGGCUAGCUCCCACUUUAACAAUGCUCGUCUUUCUCACUUUUGCUUUUCUUUUUGAAAAAGUUUUAGGUUCCCCUCUUUAUUUAUUUUGUUUUUAAACUUCAUAAAGCACACAACAGAAAUAAAUGGCUCUCUAAAACUUCCGGGUUGUCUCCUUGGCAGCGCUUUCUUUAAAGCCAUUAAGCUGGGCAUAUAGUGCUCAAGUAAUGGAUCCACCCAGAUCCCAAGGUAUAUCAAAGCCAAUUUUAAUUAACAAUGAUUUGUGAUUUAGUAGUGAGCACAAAUUAACAUAUAUCAUGUAAUGACGAAGUCUAACUCUCUUCCUAUGCAUCGGAAUGUCAUAAAAGAACAAUUCAUGCACACAUAGUAAACUCCAAUGCAUAGUAUAAAUAGUUUCUUGCAAUUUUAUCGUGUGGGAAACAUAGAGAGGUGAAGAUAUAGUUCCUCUCUCAUAAUAAUUGCAAGUAGGAGCAGCAAGCACAUGCAUAUUAUAUCUAUCAAAAUCAUCAUGUGUGGUAGUAAAACGCAACCCAUCAAUAUAAUCCUUAAUAAGGGCAAACUUCUCCGAUAUAGUGUAGUCGGGAGAAUUCAAAAAGAUGAUAGGACUAUCAUGCGUGGGUGCAAUAGCAACAAUUUGAUGUUUAACAUAAGGAACUAUAGCAAGUUCAUCUUCAUAAGAAUAAUUCAUAUUGGCAUCUUGGCCACAAGCAUAGCAAGUAUCAUCAAAAAGGGAUAUUUCGAAAGAAUCAACGAGAUCAUAACAAUCAUCAUAGCAUUCAUCCUUCGGUAAAUUCGAAGGGAAAUUAAACAAUGUAUGGGACAAAGAGUUACUCUCAGAUGGUGGGAACGGGUGAUCAAUCCGCUCUUCCUCCUUUUGUUCUUUGCUCUCCUCCUCAUCUUUUUUUCAUCAAAUGAGCUCACAAUGUCAUUAAUUUCUUCUUCCAUACACUCCUGCAAAAUAUUAGUCCCUUCUUGGACAGCGGAGGAGUCCUCAAUAUAUGGUUUAAUAUAAGGAUUAGAAGCAUAAUUAUCAUAGCAAUAUUUAAGUCUGGCCAAAUUUUCAGAUUUGUAGAGAGUAGUAUCACACUCUUCAAUAAAAGAAGCAAUUUCACAAGUACCCCUAAAAGCAACAAAUUCUUCAAUUUGUUGAACAUCAUAGUAAUUAUAAACACCCUUAGUAUACGAAGAUAUGAUUCCAUUAUCACUAAACCCACAUUGGUAAGGAAGGUGUUUCUUAGGGUCUUUAGAACAACGAGUACAAUCAUAUAUUUCACAUAAAUUCCAAGCAUAGCACUGCAGACGAUGAAUUUGAUCCAGUAAAAUUUCCCUUUUUCAGAUAUGCGGUGUCGCACAUAACAAGCAUGCUCAUCUAAAGAUUUGCCCUCAACUAAGCUAGUUGGGGUUUGAGCCCAAGCACAUAGGGAUCGAAGAUGAUCCAAGUAAAAAGCAUCAGUAGUGUGAUAGAUUUUGAGUGGUUCUUCAACCAUUGGUUCAGUAGGUACCACUAAUUUUUUUGGUAUUUUGCGUUUCCUACCCAUAACUAAAGAUAGAAAACAAGAGCACAAAAUAAAAACUACUUAGUGACAAACCAAACAAGCACGCACGAGAAUAUUCACCCCACGCUAUAACUCCCUGGCAACGGCGCCAGAAAAAGGUCUUGAUAACCCACAAGUAUAGGGGAUCAAUUGUAGCCUCUUUGGAUAAGUAAGAGUGUCGAACCCAACGAGGAGCUAAAGGUAGAACAAAUAUUCCCUCAAGUUCUAUCGACCACCGAUACAACUCUACGCACGCUUAACGUUCGCUUUACCUAGAACAAGUAUGAAACUAGAAGUACUUUGUAGGUGUAACGGGAUAGGUUUGCAAGAAUAUAAAGAGCAUGUAAAUAAAAACUAGGGGCUGUUUUAGGUAAAGAAGAAACAAAGUUAGUACCGAUAGGACAAUGAAAAUCUACUCAGACAUCAUAGGAUGGCAACACAUCAUUGGAUAAUAAUAUGAAGCAUAAAGCACCAUGUUCAAGUAGAGGGUACAGAGGGUUGCGGGAGAGUGCACCGCUGUAGACAGAUGGGGGAAGGUGAUGAAGAUGUUGGUGAAGAUGACGGAGGUGUUGGUGUAGAUUGCGGUGACACGAUGAUGGCCCCGGUGGUGUUCCGGCGCCACCAGAAGAGAGGGGGAGAGCCCCCUUCUUCUUCUUCUUCCUUGACCUUCUCCCUAGAUGGGAGAAGGGUUUCCCCUCUGGUCCAUGGCCUCCAUGGCGGCGGAGGGGCAAGAGCCCCUCCGAGAUUGGAUCUGUCUCUCUGUCUCUCUCUAUUUCUGCGUUUUAGAUUCUGGCCUUUCACCAUUUCUUAUAUUCCCGGAGAUCCGUAACUCUGAUUCGGCUGAAAUUUUAACACGAUUUCUAUCCGGAUAUUGGCUUUCUUGCGGCGAAAGAAGGGAACCAACCGCCCUACGGGGCCGCCACGAGGGUCAUGGGCGCGCCCACCCCCCUGGGGCGCGCCCCUGGCUCGUGGCCCCCUCGAGCAUCGUCUCGUGUUGAUCCUUCUUCCCAAAAAUCACAUAUAUUCCAAAAAUAAUCUGUGUAAGUUUUUAUCCCGUUUGGACUCUGUUUCAUAUGGAUUUUCUGCGAAACAAAAAACAUGCAACAAACAGGAACUGGCACUGGGCACUGGAUCAAUAUGUUAGUCCCAAAAAUAGUAUAAAAAGUUGCCAAAAGUAUAUGAAAGUUGUAUAAUGUUGGCAUGGAACAAUCAAAAAUUAUAGAUACGACGGAGACAUGUCACUAUCUACUUUUAUUACCUUGCAAUUUAUUCAUAGUUUUAUUCACACAAAGUACUCAUAGUUUUAUUCUUGCAAAAUAGUUCCGUACUUGUUUUAGGUAAAGCAAACGUGAAGUGUGUGUAGAGUUGUAUCGGUGGUCGAUAGAACUUGAGGGAAUAUGUGUUCUACCUUUAGCUCCUUGUUGGGUUCGAUGCUCUUAUUUAUCGAAGAAGGCUACAAACGACCCCCUAUACUUGUGGGUUAUCAGCGUGUCCCAAAACAUGGUUCCCCAUACUUCUCCCUACAUUUUCCCAUUCAUACACUGUCCGUGCUAGAACACCAUCCCCACACCAACUUCCUUUGUCCACCACCCCAUCCAUUGCCACUGUCCUCAACCCCAUCCAUCACCGCCGUCCUCCACCAUGCCCGAGCGCCUACCAAGCCCGCGUCUUCCACUGCUACAGAUGGACGUUUCUCAUCCACGGCGAUGAACCAGGAGCCUUGCAUUGCGUCCUCUCGCUUCAUCGGCACCAUCGUCCUCCUUGUCGAGGCCGCUCCCACGACCUUAUUGUCCACCGCAACGGGACUUAUCCCCUGAUGCACCCGUCUACCAUCGCAGAUCUGCUUCAAUGCCACCGACAACCACCGCACCCCCGAUGCCUACACGGCGCCGCAAGAGAGGUGACACUACUUCAUAUCUGCUCAACUUUUUGAUCUCAACCAGAAAAUAGAUCGUAACUUGGUUACUAUACUUUCUUUUUAGCUCUUAGAAUUUAGUUCUUAGUUCGAAGCAAACAAUGGUUGCUAGAUGGCAUUUCUAUGGUUUGCAGCUUCAAAUCUGCCAUGGCACAGUCAUAAUAGGAUUUAAUUGAUCAUGCUUAGGGUUUCCCCUCUUUUAUGAUCACUAUACGAUCAACAUACGUGCUUCGUGUCAUAAUAGCACUGCUCCACCCAUCAAGCUAAACAAGCUUAGUUGUUCAAAUACGAAUAUGAUAUUACUAAAAUAGAGUCGUUUAAUUGGUCAGCUAAAUGUUCCUAAUUUAGUUUCGAAAAUGCAUGUACACCACUAGGGUGUGGAUCUACAGGGUGCCACGAUGGGCCGCAUCCUACCCUGGGAUUUUGGGUCGGCCCAGACCCCGAUUUCCCUCUGUUCUAUUGCGCUUCCGAUCUCUACUCGCCCCCAGCCGCCUGCCUCGUCGGUGACUUGCCGUCCCCGGGUGGUAUGACUCUAGGAGGAGAAGCCAGACUAACAGAAGGUCAGGAGUCGCUCGCCCAACAGCGUCACCGCUGCUCAGGCACGCCGCCGUGCCUACCUUCCCAGUCCGUUCAGGGCUCAGGCAUGCAUCAGCCACUAAGCCCACCCGAUUUAUCCUGAGAUACGCCCUCGACACCCAGCAGCCACUCCUCAUCACCCAUUUUCUAAUUGAUUCGUUACUCAUUAGGCAGGACUGUCAUUAGGGUUUGUUGUCUACUGAGUGCUACCUACACUUAAUGGUUCAGAUAUUCCAGUAAUCUUUAGUACCUGUAAAGUUCAUAGGGUUUCAAACUUCCGGCCCUAGGAACAGACACUAGUCGUGUUGGAUUGUUGGUCAUAGUCACAUUGACCCAGAUUACUACUGUAGGCCAGGUUUGUUUACACUUUUACUUGUCUUUCUUACUCAUUCGAUAUGAUAUCCAAUUAUUCACGUCGAUUAGUUGCAAACAAUAAGUGUUGGACCAACUGCUUGAUUCAGAUUUUGGAUUUACUCUUACCAUAGUUACAGUUCUGCAUACUUGUCCUAGUAAGCUCACAAGUAAUGACUGAUUCACUACCUCUAUCCUUGCCUAGUACUUCUUGAGCUUGCGUUGGUUUUUUACUUGAAGAGGAAAGGGUGAUGCAGCAAAGUAGAGAUAAGUAUUUCCCUCAGUUUAAGAACCAAGGUAUCAAUCCAGUAGGAGGUACGCGCAAGUCUCCAAUAUAUGCACCUGCACAAACAAUCAAACACUUGCACCCAACGCGAUAAAGGGGUUGUCAAUCCCUUCACGGUCACUUGCAAGGAUGAGAUCUGAUAGAGAUGGAUAUAAAAGAUUACUAAAACAUAAAACAAAUGAAAAGUUGCAGCAAGGUAUUUUUGGGUUUUUUGGUUCAUAGAUCUGAAAAUAUAGGAUGGAAAAUAGACCCGGGGGCCAUAGGUUUCACUAGAGGCUUCUCUCUUGAAAGAAAACAUAUGGUGGGUGAACAAAUUACUAUUGAGCAAUUGAUAGAAAAGCGCAAAGUUAUGACGAUAUCCAAGGCAAUGAUUAUGAAUAUAGGCAUCACGUCCGUGUCAAGUAGACCGACGCCUGCCUGCAUCUACUACUAUUACUCCACACAUCGACCGCUAUCCAGCAUGCAUCUAGAGUAUUAAGUUCAUAAGAACGAAGUAACUCCUUAAGUAAGAUGACAUGAUGUAGAUGGAUAAACUCAAGCAUUAUGAUGAAAACACCAUCUUUUUAUCCUUGAUGGCAACAAUACAAUACGUGCCUCGCUACCCCUACUUUGUCACUAGGUGAGGACACCGCAAGAUUGAACCAAAACUAAGCACCUCUCCCAUUGCAAGAAGAACCAAUCUAGUUGGCGAAACCAAAAUGACAAUUCAAAGAGAAAUAUAAAGAUAUCAAAUCAUGCAUAUAAGAAUUCAGAGAAGACUCAAAUAAUAUGCAUAGAUAAUCUGAUCAUAAAUCCACAAUUCACCGGAUCUCGACAAACACACCACAAAAGAAUAUUACAUCAGAUAGAUCUCCCAGAACAUCGAGGAGAACAUUGUAUUGAAGAUCAAAGAGAGAGAAGAAGCCAUGUAGCUACUAGUUAUGGACCCGCGGGUCUGUGGUAAACUACUCACACUUCAUCGAAAGGGCAAUAGAGUUGAUGUAGAAGCCCUCCGUGAUAGAAUCCCCCUCCGGCAGGGUGUCGGAAAAGGCCCCAAGAUGGUAUCUCAUGGGAACAAAAGGUUACGGCGGCGGAAAAGUAUUUUGGUGGACGCUUCUGGUCGUUUGGGAAUAUUUGGGAAUUUAUAGUGCUGGAAUUAGGGCUAGGGGACCUCCGAGGGGUCCACAAGCCCUUAGAUCGCCCCCCUAGGGCACGCCCCUGAGGCUUGUGGCCUCCAAGUUACGUGGGUGUCUUUUGGUCCAAGAAAAAUCAUCGCGAAAGUUCUAUUCCGUUUGGACUCCGUUUGAUAUUCUUUUUCUGUAAAACUCAAAAACAAGGAAGAAAAAGGAAACUGACACUGGGCUCUGGGUUAAUAAGUUAGUCCCCAAAAUAAUAUAAAAUAGCAUAUUAAUGCAUUUAAAACAUCCAAAACAGAUAAUAUAAUAGCAUGGAACAAUAAAAAAUCAUAGAUACGUUGGAGACGUAUCAUUGCCUUGUCAAUAUUGUUUUAGGGUGGACCACCCUGUUUCAAAAUACUGGAACCGCGGACAUGAGUGAAAUAGUAUUUCUCUGUGUGAUCUCUUCCAUCAUGUGUCACUACUGUAAGAUGCUGCUAACGCGACACUACGAUCAGAGACCCUUCGAGAAACUGUGUGCGAUGCAGUAAUCGCAAACGGUGGUGUAUGAAAACCAUCAAAAAAGGUGCAAAAUGUUUGCGAUGGAGGAUGCAUCAAACACGGUUCAGAUUUUAGUUGCGUGUGCGAUUCAGGCCACACGGUUAACCUGUUCGAACUGUUUGCGAUGAGACAGAACAACAGAAACGGGCAGCCAUAUCAAUGUGUGUGGCAUAUAUGGCAUACAGUUCGCUCCGAUGAGCCGUUUGCUAUUAGGGAGUGCAACAUAAACGGUUAGCCACAUUAAGGUGUGUGUGAUAUAGGGCAUACGGUUCACUCGGACAAACUAUUUUUUAUUAGCGAACACAAUAGAAACGGUUCAACUUAACAAGAUGUGUGUGAUACGUGGCAAACAGCCGACAUGGAUGAACUGUUUGCGAUGAAAAUUUACAACAUAGACGGUUAAUACAGUUAGUUCGUGUGUGAUUCUGUGUGUACAAAAAACUUUGAAAAAUGCAAAAUAGUUGCUUGCGGUGGCUAGGAGUAUCGCAGACGAUGCGUCUACGAGUACUCAUGUGCGAUGAUUAGUAAGUUACACUUGCAUUUCCUUAUGUUAACACUUGUGUGAUAAAUAACACGUGGCACCGGCUACGGUAUUCGGGUUGUGUGUCUGCUCCACUUAGUCUUCCCGUGCUCCAGCUAAUGCUUCUUGCGCUCCACAUGGGUGAAUUGUAAAAUCCACGCCUAUUCCCUCACCGGUUUCCCGCCACCAGCUAACGGCUUGCUGCAUAUAACCCAGGCGGCAACGCACCGCCGCGACACUCUGCGAAGAUCUAGUCCUCACCCAUCUACCAUUAGUUAUUCCAAGCAUGCCAGGCAACGACCAAAGCUUCGACGUCAACACCUACCUGCAUUACAUCUUUGGUGAGGAGAACGAGCCGAAGCAGGUCGGGGAGCAAGAGCUUCAUCGGCCGGUGCAGGCACCAUGGCCCAUCGGCAAUGAUAUCGGCAUCACAGUCCUUGGGAGCACAAUCGACAUAUUAUAGAGGAGGUGUGAUGAGCAGUUUGCCAUCCACCUUGCAAAAGAUCCAGAGCUGCUCGGCGGCAUGAUCGGUGACCCACCCGAAUAACCGCCAUCACUAGUGCUCAUCGAGAGCCUGAUGCCCCGCAAGGAAUGGGCACAGGACCUCUGCAAUUCAGUCAAGACAAAGGCAGUCCACGUCUUCAUCAUUGCCCGUGACGGCCGUGUCAACCUCGAUCCCGAUGAUGUGGUGGCCAGGCUCGAGCGCAUCCUUGGCGGAGGUGACAUCCCCUAUGAAGUAGAACAUCGCCAACGUGAUAUCUUGAGGAUGCAGGUGAUCGACGGAAUUUGCUACCAGGCCAGAGACAUGGAAAUGGAGCGGUUCCGCAGAGUUGUCAUGCGCGUGAUUGCACGCUAUCAAGCUCCUCUGGAAGAGGCCCAACAGCCCCAAGAGCCUCCCAUCAGCGCCACCAGCUCCGUAUGCGGAGGCGGGUCGGGACACUCGGAGUGAAUGGCCUCAAGGGUGCUAUGCUGAUCAUGGAGUCCGAGAAGACCAUCCUCGAAAGGCCGCCAGCUCAGCCUUUUAGCUUAUAUUUUGUUAUAAUUGUAUGCAUAUGUAAGUCGUGAGUGUUCUGGGCCUUGCCCCAUUUGGCAUUUUAAAUUAUCCUGAAUAUGUAAGACAAUUAUUAAGAAUUAUUAACAGUUGUCAUUGUAACUUUGCCUCAACGGCGAGCAGAGCGCGCGCAGGGAUGCUAGAGCGGAGCGCGCCGCGGCCGCCUCCAUGGCGAGCAACCACGUGGUCAACCUUCUAAAAUCAAUAAAUUUUGACCUUGUUUCUCAUCACAUUGCUGACUAUAACGCAAUAAGUAAUUGCAAAUCUGUUCACACCUCUCAAACUAAUAUGUGUUCACACUUAGCACCGGGCUAUAAAAACUACCCACUCGGAAAUUACUUCACAGUUCCUCUCCUCAUCACCCACAAAACAGGUUUUCUCUGUCAAGUUGUUCCGCCAUGACCGGUUGGAGGAGUUUAGGAUGGACAUAUAACCAGGCAGCAAAGACCAAGGCCGCACAAGCACUAGAGAGGUCCCGCCGCGAAGCCACAACCACAGCAGAGAUGUCCGGGCGUGCCACGGAGCCCUCGAACGAGCUCUCACGGGCACGCGAGGGCUCUCACAAGCGCAUCUGCGGCGUCGGCCAUCGCGACGAGCCGGCGUUCCAGAAGUCCUUCGCCGGUGACGAUGACAUUUUCGCUGGCGUCACUACGCAGCAAGAGCUGGUCAACGGCUUGAUGAAGCUGCUCAAGCUCAGCGAUGCCUCGGUUGACAAGGCGACCGGCCUCGUCGAGCAACUCAUGGAUGACAAUGCAGAGCUCCUCAAGUUGGUCGCCGAGAAGGAGGAGGAGGCCGCCGGAUGGAAGAUGCUGCAUGAGAAGAGCAGUGCCUCAGAGAUGAUGCUUAAAGCGGUCGUCGAGGAACUGAUGGAUGGCUUGAGGAAGCUCCAGAUCGAGCGCGGGCAGGAGGUGGAGGUGGAGGAAUCCGUGGCUGCUUUCAAGCAAAGUCGUGAGGAAUUGAAGAAGGAGUUGGAGGAUUUCGCCGCCCGGCGAUCCAUCGGCGAGUAGAGACAGUAGCGACCCAGAUAGUUGUCUGCAAUUUCCUUCUUCUCUUGCCCCCCGUGUCUUCCGGGCUUUGCCGCAUGUGGCAUUUUAAAUUAUUAGGAAUAUGUAAGACAAUUAUUAUGUGCGCCAUUGUAAUUUUUCAUCGUAUUAUCCGUUGCCAUUUUAUUUGUAGUCGUAUUAUCUGUUGCCCUAUGUGGCAAUUUAAAUUAGGGCGGAAUACUAGUUGAAAACACGAACAAAGCAAAUGCCACCAUGGGAUCACAAGCAAACACCCUCCGUCCAGGUGCUUUAAUUAACCCAUUAAUGGAGAAGUUAUGUGCGAGGCGGGCAGCAGCUGGUGCAUGGAGGUCAAAGAGCUCGCUUCUCGGUGAGCAUGGGCGGCCUUGCUGCUCGCACGUGUCUCGUCGAUCCUGCGAGGUGGACAGGAUGCACGCGUCCCGUCGAGCCUGUGCGGCGGACUGCUCGCAUGCGUCCCGUCGAAGCUGCAUGACAGACUUCUCGCGCUCGUCCCGUCUAAUCAAACAGUUGCACGCACGCCAUCGAGUAUGGUUAAAUUUCGACACGGUAAAUAUAAUACAACCGUUUGCGAUAUUAACGUGUCAGCUUUUUUUCAAAAAGGACUUCAUUGGCUAUUAAUGUGUGCGCCUCUUCUCAAACUGGACGAUUUUUCUUACCACGGCAUAUAUGUGCCAUGUCAUGAAACCAUGCCAAGUUUCAUGUUUUUUGGGUGACUUCUUUAUUUACUGGGAUUUAAAAACCGAGAUUCUCAUUGUUUCAGGACGACGACAAGUUUGUAGUUCAUUCUCAUUCCUUAAACGAGACCUAAACAUGCACCCAAUGACACAUGUAUGAUUUCCCACCCAUUUUGCUUCAUUGGAGCAUGUGGUUGUAGUUCAAAUUUGAAUUAUGGACUACAUUAAAUGCAUAGAAAACUUAGUAAUUAGUAAUACAUAUACAAUGGCCAAACAAACCCUAAACAGUUUCAAAUUUCAGCCCGACACUCAUGUUAUUCUAUGUUGACUAUAGAAAACAAAGUUCAAGGCGAGAAGAGGCAUCGAUUAUCGUUUCGCCCACAAGAGGGGCAUGUUUCCCUACUGGAACCAUGAUGGUUGCGAUAGGCUCCGGUUUGUAAAAGGCUUGUAAUAUAGCUUCGCCCAAAUUGGACAAUUAUAUAUACCAUGUAGUGACACCAUACCAAGUUUCAUGAUUUCCUGGUGAGUUUUGGAUUUACAGACAUUUAAAAACUGAGAUUCGCAAUGUUUGUGGCCAGGACGGUGAGACGGUUGAAUUCAUUCACAUUCGUUCCAUGGGAUCUAAACAUGCACCCCAAGGAAACAUGUACGUUUUUUCUAGCCAUUUUGGUGCACUGGAGCAUGCAUUUGUAGUUCGGAUUUGAAUGAUGGACAUUAAAUGCCUAGAAAACUCAAUUAGUGAAUAAAAAAGGUCAAAUGAACCCUGAAUAAUUUCAAAGUUCAGCCUGAAUAUCCAGUUGUUUUGUGUCGCGUGUAGAAGAAAAUACGAGGCUAGAAGAGGGAGUGAUUAUCGUUUGGCCCACAAGGGGACACAUUUCCCUAUCGAAACCACGAGGGUUCUUGCGACAGGCUCCGGUUUGUAAGAGGUUUGUAGUAAAGCUUGGCCCAAAUUGGCAAUGUUUUUACCACGACAUAUAUGUGCCAUGACAUGACACCUUGCCACCUUUGAUGACUUUCUGGUGAGUUUAGGAUUUAUGGGGACUUAAAAACCGAGAUUCGAAAUGUUUGAGGAAGAGCCAGGACACCGAUACAGUUGUAAUUCGUUCCCAUUCCUGGCAUGAGACCUAAACAUGCACCCAAGGACACAUGCAUAAUUUUUCUAGCCAUUUUGAUGAACUGGAGCAUGUAUUUGUAGUUCAGAUUUGAAUUAUGGACAUUAAAUGCCUAGGAAACCCAAUUAGUGUAUAAAAUGGCCAAACAAACCCUCAAUAAGUUUAAAUUUCAUCAUGGAUAUCCUAUGGUUCCAUGUUGCCCAUGGAAGAAAAUACAAGGCGAAAAGAGGCAGUGAUUAUGUUUCGCCCACAAGGGGAACACGUUUCCCUAUCAGAACCAUGAGGCUUCUUUGAGAGAAGCUCCAGUUUUUGUAAGAGGUUUGUAAUAAAGCUUGGCCCAAAUUGGACAAUGUUUUUACCACAACAUAUAUGUGCCAUGACGUCACACCAUGCCACCUUUGAUGACUUUCUGGUGAGUUUAGGAUUUAUGGGGACUUAAAAACCGAGUUUCGAAAUGUUUGAGUAUGACCCAUGACACCAGUACGGUUGUAAUUCGUUCCCAUUCCUGGCAUGGGACCUAAACAUUCACCCAAGGGCACAUGUAUAAUUUUUCUAGACAUUUUGGUGAACUGGAGCAUGUAUUUGUAGUUCAGAUUUGAAUUAUGGACAUUAAAUGCCUAGGAAACUCAAUUAGUGUAUAAAAAGGCCAAACGAACCCUGAAUAAGUUUAAAUUUCAGCACGGAUAUCCUGUCAUUCCAUGUUGCACGUAGAAGAAAAUACAAGGUGAAACAAGGCAGUGAUUACAUUUCGCCCACAAGGGGGACAUGUUUCCCUAUCGGAACCACGAGGCUUCUUUGAGAGAAGCUCCGGUUUGUAAGAGGCUCGUAAUAAAACUUGCACCACAAUGGACGAAAAGAAUUCCUCGACAUAUAGGUGCGAUGUCGUGACACCAUGGCAGGUUUCACGAUUUCCAGCUUAGUUUUGGAUUUACGGGGAUUUAAAACCAAGAUUCUUCUCACGAAAUGUUUUCAAAUAGCACACGGUUCACUCAUGAAAGCCGAUAUUCAAUGAAAACUUUGUGGAAACCAUAUUUUAAAGUUUCAUAAAAAUCUGGAAAAAAAUGUGGGAUGUUAAGAAGGUGAUGUUUUAUUGUGGCACAAAAUUUCAAGUUGAAAACAUUACGAGAUGUGAUCUAUGAAAAAGACAAAUUCCGCCCUAAAUAGUGACAUUACUAUUCGGCACUAUUCAACACUGAUUUUGUCUUUUUCAUAGCUCACAUGUCUUAAUGUGUUCCAGCUUGAAAUUUUGUGUGCCAAUAAAACAUAAUCGUCUUAACAUCCCGCAUUUUUUGAAUUUUUUUUAAACUUCAAAACAUCUUUUUCUCGUGAUUUUCAUCGGUUUCCACCGAAUGUUGGUUUCCAUAUGAUAUCCCCCCCCCCCCGCUACGCGCACGAUCUUAGUCCUGUGUUCUGACUGGCCAGAACCCAAACCCCACGGAUCGUACGUGUGCACCAUUGGACGAUCCCAAAUUGAACGGAAACCCUGAGCCCUUUCGACAGCACAUGCAGUACAUGGGUAAGCACUAUGCGCAUGCGUCGUGUAGCUCAUGCUUCCUUCUCUACUAGGUUUUCAUUCAAAACAGGCUACCAUUUCUCACCACUCCUCUCAUCGGUUUCCCGCCUCUUCUCCCACAUAUGCAUGAUGUAGAUGUUCAUUUAAUUCUUAUAGUUCAUCUCAUCCAAAAUCAAUUAGUUUUGUAAAAAAAUUGUUUUAAGAUUCAUGGAAUUGUGCAUUGUAAAGGUAAAACAAAUACUGACAAUUCAUUUAGAAAAAAAGGUUUGGGAAAUUAAGAUAUGGAAGAUUCUAGAGAACAAAGGAGAAGUGCUUGUGUUUAGAGGUUUGUGCAUUAUGCUUAAGUUCAACCAUGGAGUCUUCUAGAUUGUACAUGUGGCAGAAUCAGGUAGAAUGUAGAUGAUAUCCAACGACCAGUAGUGCUCAGAUUUGCCAUCUCUGUACCGUCAGAUUGGCUUCAUCCAAUGAGCAACUUUCAUAGUUAUCCGCACACUAUAUAUGUGUAUAGAUGUAUAGAUAUAUAUAUAUGUGUCCCAUGCUAGACAAAAUAAAGUUUGAGNNNNNNNNNNNNNNNNNNNNNNNNNNNNNNNNNNNNNNNNNNNNNNNNNNNNNNNNNNNNNNNNNNNNNNNNNNNNNNNNNNNNNNNNNNNNNNNNNNNNNNNNNNNNNNNNNNNNNNNNNNNNNNNNNNNNNNNNNNNNNNNNNNNNNNNNNNNNNNNNNNNNNNNNNNNNNNNNNNNNNNNNNNNNNNNNNNNNNNNNNNNNNAUUGAACCAGGCUUGGAGUCGGGUAUGGUGUUCGGUUUGUAAUGUACUUAGUGUGGCCCAUCCAAGUUGUGCAUUUGGGAUUUAAACACAUCAUACACCAUCGUACCCAUACAUAUUUUCGGGCCGCAUGCAGUGUAUACAGGGUCUUCUGAUCGGCCACGUCUCCCUUGUGCGGUUUUUGUGAUGACACGGAUAUAUGUGGGCUCCCUGAGUGUAUAUAUAUCAUCCCUUUGACCGAUAAUGAGGGGUAUGUAUUUUCCAUGAAUGGAUUCCUCCUAGUUCAUGUUAGGUCCGGUCACCAUCAAAUGUCGGUCAACAAAAACUCGAGCUCAUGUGUUGUCAGGAUUCCCUCCCAGAUGCUUCGAUUGCUAGGUUUGACCUACAUCAAACCCUCGUACGUAUCUCGUCCUUAACUACCUUGCCUUCAUGGUUGUUGUCGGAUGUGGGGUUCAGGCAAACCCUUAAGGUUUGAACACUGGGGUGCGCGCCUUUCCCUCCUAUCGAUCUACGCCCUAGCUCACUAAGAUCUCGCGGACAAACUCGACGAACUCGCAACACAUAAAGACACAAGGUUUAUACUGGUUCAGGCCACCGUUGUGGUGUAAUACCCUACUCCAGUGUGGUGGUGGUGGAUUGCCUCUAGGGCUGAUGAUGAAUAGUACAAGGGAAGAACAGCCUCCUAAGGUUGAGGUGUUCUUGAGCUCGGUGAGCUUGUGUGUGUGAGGAUGGUCUGAAUGAUCCGUCCUUUGCUAAGGUGGUGGCUAGUCCUAUUUAUAUUGGCCCUGGUCCCCUUCUAAAGUAUCGAGCGGGAAGGGAGCCAACAAUGGCGGGCCAAUUUGAAGGGGGGCAGCUAGUACAAGCUAUCCUAACAAAAGUGGUCUUCGCCUGCAAAAAGCUCUAUGGUGGCGCCGUCUUGGGCUCCACGAUGACCUCCGUCUUGCCGUCCUCCUGGUCUUGGUCUCAUUGCACCAAUAUAGCAACAUUUGCCUGAUGCCUCGGUACUCUUCGCCUGCGUUGGCCUCCUUUGCACCAAAGAGGAAACAAGGACGCUGUGUGCGCUGGCGCCCGCCUGGCGUCCGCCUGGUGUCAUGCGUCAUGGCUCACGUCGCGAGGGUCUCGUGAGGUUUGCCCUGCCUUGAUAUCUCCGCUCCUCGUGAGCCUGCCCGGCUAGGCCACUCCCGAGGAGGUCUUGCACCGUCCGCCUCGCGAGGCUUGGACCCUCGCGAGGGUCAUGGAUGCUUUGCUGGUGAAGAUGGGUCGUACGGCCUGCUGGCUCAGCCAUGCCUGUAACGCCCCAGAUGUAACUUUCCAUAUUUGUAUCCAACUCUUGCCGUCUCCGGCGCUAAGUUAUAUUUAUUUCUCGGGUUGGGUCUUUGUCUUCGUGUGUGUUGUUUUCGUUUUCAUGCAUCUCAUAUCAGGUCAUCACGUGCAUUGCAUUUGCAUACAUGUUCAUCUCAUGCAUUCGAGCAUUUUCCCCGUUGUCCGUUUUGCAUUCCGGCGUUUCGUUCUCCUCCGGUGGUCAUUUCUAGCUUUCUUUCUUGUGUGGGGUUUAAACAUUUCCGGAUUGGACCGAGUCUUGCCAAGCGGCCUUGGUUUACUACCGGUAGACCGCCUGUCAAGUUUCGGGUCAUUUGGACUUCGUUUGAUACCCCAACGGUUAACCGAGGGACCGAAAAGGCCUCGUGUGUGUUGCAGCCCAACACCCCCCAAAUUUGGCCAAAAACCCACCAAACUCUGCUCCAUGUCCUAGAGCGUUCGAUCACGAUCGUGUGGGCGAAAACCGCACCUCAUUUGGACUCUCCUAGCUCCCUCUAUGCCUAUAUAUACACCCCUCCGUUUUCGGAUCUCUCCCUCUCCCCGAAACCCUAAAAAAAAAACAGAUCAACCCCGCCACCGACGGACGUGUCCGGAUCCGACCGGACAACGUCCGCCCCGCCGCCGCAGCGAGUCCCGCGCCGCCACGUGGCCGAGGCCCACAUCGCCGCCGCCGAGGCCCGGGAGCCCGAGGCCGGCCCCCGCGGCCCGGCUCCGCGCCGCCGCUCUCCGCGCCCGUCCCCGACGCCUGCGCCGCCUCCUUCCCCGACGCCGGUGACCGGCGCCGCCGCGGGCCGCCUCCCCGCCGCCGCUCGCCUCCCCGGUCCGGCAGCGCCCCGCCGCGCCGUCCGCGCCAUCCCCGACGCCGGCCGACCCCGCCGCCGUCCGCGCCGCCCGCCUCCUCACCGGCCCCGCCGCCCUCUCCCUCCCGGCCGGCGAGCCCCUCCUCCGCGCCAAGUCCGACGCCGGCGAGCUCCAGAUCGGGCCGGCGAACCUCGGGAGUCGCGCCACUGCUACAGUGCGGCUGGAUCUAGAUCUAGGUUGACUUCUCUCCCCCUUUUAUUAUGUAUUACAUGGGAUGUUGUAAUGAUUGCCUGACUUGCGACAUUGCUUUCAAUGCGGUUAUGCCUCUAAGUCGUGCCUCGACACGUGGGAGCUAUAGCCGCAUCGAGGGCGUUACAAGUUGGUAAUCAGAGCCAUCCCCGACCUUAGGAGCCCCAUUGCUUGAUCGUUUUUAGCAGCCGAGUUGUGUCUAGAAAAAUGUUUUGAGUCCUUAGGAAUUAUAUAUCGGAGAGCUUAGGAAUUCUUUUACUUCCCAGUCUCCUCAUCGCUCUGGUAAGGCAUCCUGGCGUAGAGUUUUGACUCUUCUCUUCUCAAAUUUCACUAAAUUUUUUUUAGGAUCACGCGAGUAUCUUGGUUUUGUUCCGAUGGUUUUGUGACGAGAACAUUGUUCUUGGUGCCUCCUGUCUUUAGGGGUUGUGGCAGUGUCCCGGGGAGUUGAGCUCCGAGGUGUUGUCGUCACAAUUUCAUCGUUGCAAUUCUGGUAUACUUGAGAUAUGUUCGCCGACAUCGAAAAUCUCUUUUAUGCAGUUCGUUGGUGAGAUAACCUCGACGCCACCCAGUACUGGGGCGGGAGUUCGGGAGUAUUGCCAUAACUUGUAUAACGGAUGCUUUUCGAAGGUUGAGGUAGAUGGUUUCCGAAGUUUUCCUGGUUAUGUGUUGAAGGAUGGAUACAGCUGGAUGUAGGAUUUGCUAGUUUGGGUGAGAUAUUGUGCUUCCCCUGUAUCCCCAACACCUGAUUGCAUAACCGGAAAGGUUCGGGAGUAUCAUAGGUGGGAAUUCUAGUAGCUCUAGUUCUUCUUCCACGGAUAUUGGUUUGAGAUUGGGAUGCCAACAAGUGUACCAACCAGAGGCGUCUUCCUCCUCCUCCUCCUGUCAGAUCGGCAAGUACAGCUGUGGUCAAACACAAUCCCAAGCACGCCAAGGUCAAUAUGCUGAAUGCAGCUCAGGCUGAGGAUUCUUCAGAUGUCAUUAUGGGUAACCUUCCUAUUAAUGAUAUUCCUGCAAAAGUUCUUUUUGACACGGGUGCAUCGCAUUGUUUCAUAUCAAAGCCAUUUUUUACCAAGCAUGAGUUCGUUUCUUCUCAUUUGGGUAAACAUAUGGAUAUCAUUUCUCCUGGCAAACGUUUGAGCGCAAGUCUGGAGGUGCCAGAUGUCGCUAUCUCGAUGGGCGAUUUCAAGUUUCUUGCUUCUCCUAUGGUUCUUGGUAAUUCCGAUAUCGAUCUUAUUCUCGGGAUGGACUGGCUCUCUAAGCAUAAAGCUCAGCUUGAUUGUGCAGCCAGGCAGAUUCAACUGACUCAUUCAUCUGAGGAUGUCAUUGUCUUUGCCGCUCGAGAUAAUUCAAUCCGGUUGUUUUCUCUCAAUGAGAAGGGUGAAUUGGAUGCUAUUUCGCAAAUUCCUGUCGUUUGCGAAUAUCAAGACGUCUUUCCAGAAGAGCUCCCAGGAAUGCCUCCGCACCGGCCGGUUGAAUUUGUUAUUGAACUUGAGCCCGGUACGGAACCUGUGUGCAAACGCCCUUACAAGCUCGGCCCAGAAGAGUUGAAGGAGCUGAAGAAACAACUCGAUGAGCAAGAAAGAUUGGGUCUCAUUCGGCCUAGUACUUCUCCGUGGGGUUGUGGUGUUCUUUUUGUGAAGAAGAAGGAUGGAACGAGUCGACUUUGUGUUGAUUACCGUCCAGUAAACAAGAAGACCAUCAAGAACAAAUACCCACUUCCCAACAUAAAUGAGCUGUUUGAACAACUCAAGGGUGCUCAAGUAUUCUCCAAGCUUGAUCUCCGUAUGGGUUAUCAUCAGAUUCGUAUUCGUGAGCAAGAUAUUCCCAAGACGGCGUUCAGAACAAGCUUUGGUUCAUAUGAAUACACCGUCAUGUCUUUUGGCCUCGCCAACGCUCCUCCGACGUUCUCUCGCAUGAUGAACUUCAUCUUCAACCCCUACACCAAUGAAUUCGUUUUGGUCUAUCUCGACGACAUUCUGGUUUUCUCGAAGAACAAGAAAGAUCAUGCCAAGCACUUGCGUUUGGUUCUUGACAAGCUCAGAGAACAUCAGUUCUACGCCAAGUUCUCCAAGUGUGAAUUUUGGCUAGAUGAAGUUCUUUAUCUUGGUCAUAUCAUCUCCGCCAAGGGCAUUUCCGUGAAUCCUGAGAAGGUGUCCGCAAUUGUGAAUUGGGAACCUCCUCAGAACGUGAAGCAACUCCGCAGUUUUCUUGGUCUCGCAAGCUAUUGCAGAAGAUUCGUUGAAAACUUUUCUAAGAUCGCCAAGCCUCUCUCAAAUCUUCUUCAGAAGCACGUCAAGUACGUUUGGUCUCCGGAGUGUGAUAUUGCUUUCAACUCUUUGAAAGAGAAAUUGGUCACUGCUCCAGUUCUGACUCCGCCUGAUGAAACCAAGCCGUACGAGGUCUUUUGUGAUGCCUCUCUCCAAGGUCUCGGUGCUGUACUGAUGCAAGAGAAGAAAGUUGUUGCUUAUACUUCUCGCCAGUUGAAACCUAAUGAGAAGAACUACCCCACUCAUGAUCUCGAGUUGGCGGCAGUGGUACACGCUUUGUUAACUUGGAGACAUCUUCUAUUGGGAAGGAAAGUGGAUAUUUUCACUGAUCACAAGAGUCUCAAGUACAUCUUCACUCAGCCUAAUCUCAACCUCAGGCAGACUCGAUGGGUCGAAAUGAUUCAAGAGUAUAAUCCGAGUAUCGAGUAUACUCCAGGCAAGGCUAAUGUGAUUGCUGACGCUUUGAGCAGAAAAGCAUAUUGCAACAGUCUGAUUCUCAAACCUUACCAACCCGAGCUUUGUGAAGCUUUCCGCAAACUGAAUCUGCAAGUUGUUCCUCAAGGUUUCCUCGCCAACCUUCAAGUCUCUCCUACCUUAGAAGACCAGAUUCGCCAAGCCCAACUUCUUGAUGCUAUGGUGAAGAAGGUGAAGAUUGGUAUUGCAAAGAGUCAGUCCAAGUACAAGUGCUACCGACUUGAUGACAAGGACACUCUCUUCUUCGAGGAUCGAAUUGUUGUGCCCAAAGGUGAACUUCGUAAGGUGAUCAUGAACGAGGCUCACAACUCUCUCCUCUCCAUCCACCCUGGUAGUACGAAGAUGUAUCAGGACCUCAAGCAAGCUUAUUGGUGGACUCGAAUGAAGCGCGACAUCGCUCAAUUCGUGAACGAAUGUGAUGUCUGCAGAAGAGUGAAGGCAGAACACCAAAGGCCAGCUGGUCUCCUCCAACCUCUUGCCAUUCCAGAAUGGAAGUUUGACCACAUUGAAAUGGACUUCGUGACUGGGUUUCCAAAGUCCAAGCGUGGCAAUGAUGCUAUAUUCGUCGUCAUCGACAAGCUCACCAAAGUGGCUCAUUUUCUGCCUAUCAAAGAGUCAAUCACUGCAGCUCAAUUGGCGGAACUCUAUACCUCUCGCAUUGUCUCUCUGCACGGUAUUCCUCAAGUGAUAUCUUCAGACCGUGGCAGCAUCUUUACCUCCAAGUUUUGGGAUUCUUUUCAGAAGGCUAUGGGCACCAACAUCCGCUUCAGCACAGCUUUCCAUCCUCAAACGAGCGGUCAAGUCGAGCGUGUCAACCAAAUUCUUGAAGAUAUGCUCAGGGCUUGUGUGAUCUCCUUCGGCAUGAAGUGGGAGGAUUGUCUUCCUUAUGCUGAAUUCUCAUACAACAAUAGCUUUCAAGCAAGUUCGGGCAAGGCCCCCUUCGAAAUUCUAUAUGGCAGGAAGUGCCGUACCCCUCUCAACUGGUCUGAAACCGGUGAACGUCAGCUGCUGGGUAAUGACUUAAUCACAGAAGCAGAAGAAAUGUGCAAAGUCAUUCGUGAUAACCUCAAAGCAGCCCAGUCCCGCCAGAAGAGCUACUAUGAUAGUAAGCAUCGUGAUCUGGUUUUCGAGAUUGGAGAUCAUGUUUACCUCCGCGUCUCUCCCAUGAAAGGUACUCGUCGCUUCGGUAUCAAAGGGAAGCUUGCCCCUAGAUACGUGGGACCUUUCAAGAUUGUCAGCAAGAGAGGCGACCUCGCCUAUCAACUCGAGCUUCCUUCAAACUUUGCAAAUGUUCAUGAUGUGUUCCAUGUCUCUCAGCUUCGAAAGUGCUUCAAGACUCCUGACCGCACCGUCAACUUCGAGGACAUUGAGCUCCAAGAAGAUCUCUCCUAUCGUGAGCACCCAGUUGCUAUUCUCGAAGAGACUGAAUGCAAGACUCGCAACAAGUCAAUCAAAUUUCUCAAAGUCAAGUGGUCACACCAUUCCGACCGUGAAGCUACCUGGGAACGCGAGGAUCACCUCCGUUCUGAGUACCCGGAGUUCUUUCAGUCCUAGAUCUCGGGACGAGAUCUUUUCGUAGUGGUGGAGUGUUGUAACGCCCCAGAUGUAACUUUCCAUAUUUGUAUCCAACUCUUGCCGUCUCCGGCGCUAAGUUAUAUUUAUUUCUCGGGUUGGGUCUUUGUCUUCGUGUGUGUUGUUUUCGUUUUCAUGCAUCUCAUAUCAGGUCAUCACGUGCAUUGCAUUUGCAUACAUGUUCAUCUCAUGCAUUCGAGCAUUUUCCCCGUUGUCCGUUUUGCAUUCCGGCGUUUCGUUCUCCUCCGGUGGUCAUUUCUAGCUUUCUUUCUUGUGUGGGGUUUAAACAUUUCCGGAUUGGACCAAGUCUUGCCAAGCGGCCUUGGUUUACUACCGGUAGACCGCCUGUCAAGUUUCGGGUCAUUUGGACUUCGUUUGAUACCCCAACGGUUAACCGAGGGACCGAAAAGGCCUCGUGUGUGUUGCAGCCCAACACCCCCCAAAUUUGGCCCAAAACCCACCAAACUCUGCUCCAUGUCCUAGAGCGUUCGAUCACGAUCGUGUGGGCGAAAACCGCACCUCAUUUGGACUCUCCUAGCUCCCUCUAUGCCUAUAUAUACACCCCUCCGUUUUCGGAUCUCUCCCUCUCCCCGAAACCCUAAAAAAAAAACAGAUCAACCCCGCCACCGACGGACGUGUCCGGAUCCGACCGGACAACGUCCGCCCCGCCGCCGCAGCGAGUCCCGCGCCGCCACGUGGCCGAGGCCCACAUCGCCGCCGCCGAGGCCCGGGAGCCCGAGGCCGGCCCCCGCGGCCCGGCUCCGCGCCGCCGCUCUCCGCGCCCGUCCCCGACGCCUGCGCCGCCUCCUUCCCCGACGCCGGUGACCGGCGCCGCCGCGGGCCGCCUCCCCGCCGCCGCUCGCCUCCCCGGUCCGGCAGCGCCCCGCCGCGCCGUCCGCGCCAUCCCCGACGCCGGCCGACCCCGCCGCCGUCCGCGCCGCCCGCCUCCUCACCGGCCCCGCCGCCCUCUCCCUCCCGGCCGGCGAGCCCCUCCUCCGCGCCAAGUCCGACGCCGGCGAGCUCCAGAUCGGGCCGGCGAACCUCGGGAGUCGCGCCACUGCUACAGUGCGGCUGGAUCUAGAUCUAGGUUGACUUCUCUCCCCCUUUUAUUAUGUAUUACAUGGGAUGUUGUAAUGAUUGCCUGACUUGCGACAUUGCUUUCAAUGCGGUUAUGCCUCUAAGUCGUGCCUCGACACGUGGGAGCUAUAGCCGCAUCGAGGGCGUUACAAUGCCGCGGGCCGCAGGCAGGCAAGUCCGGGGACCCCCGUUCCCAGAAUGCCGACAGUUGUUGUCUGUAUCGAGAGGUAGGCACCACAUCUAAAUUGUACAUUAUUCUAUAUUGAAAACACACAUCACCCCUUCCCAACGUACAUCAUUUUGGGCCACAUGCAAGAGGUGCUGGUUUUGUGGUCCCUCUCGUGCGAUGUUUAUGAUGGUUCAAUCUAUUAGCCCAAGUGGUUUAUCGACAACAACAGCUGUCAUUUGACCAAAUGAAAGAUUCAUUGGUCUGUCUUAUGUAGGUCAUGUCGACAUGCAUGUAUGACCAAAGUAUCGAUCAUUACGUGCAUCCGCCCUGCUGACACGAAGUGGGAGGUGGUGGGCCAAGCAUCCUAGCUAGGUACGACAUUAUGUCAUUAUAUAUAUCCUAGCUAGGUGGCUGUUAGGGUGCUUUUGGGUUUGCGAGGCAGGUGCCACCAAAGUUAUGCAUUGUGUAUUUAAAGUUUUAAACAUCCCCAAUAUUCGUAUAUAUAUUUGGCCACUUCCAGGUGGUUCUUGACUUCUGGCCCCUCUCGUAGAUCUUCAAUGAUGCGCCCAACCGUGGGCCCGCGGGGUCAAAGUUGUGCACUAGAAUUUUGAACAUCACAUACCACCCUUUUCACUCAUAUAUAUUUGGGCCACAUGCUGGUGUGGCUAUCUUUUGACCCUCCCUAACGUUAUAUUUUGCUGCAAAGACUCUGAUGAUCCUUAACGGACACGGGGUAUAAUAUCUAAACCAUGUGCCAUACAAGUGCGAUGUGAAUCACCACGACCACGCAAGCGCGAGCAAAUUAAGGUGGAGGUACUGGCUCAACCGUGUACGAUGCAAGUGCGCUGAAAUCACCACGACCGUGCAAGCGCGAGCGAAGGGUGGAGGUACUGGCUUAACCGUGUGGGAUGCAAGUGCGCUAUAAAACCACCACCCGUGGAAGCUAAAGGCGGGUAAGUUUAUUUGGAAAUUAGGACGAACCGUGUGAGAUAGACCUGCUAGCUAGAAAUAUAAAAAACAAACUACCCGCCUUGAGCGUUGCAAAAAUCGGCGGAUUCAUGCCACUUUUCCUUAUUAUCAUACACGCAUACUGUUAUUGGACUGUGCAUGAUCUUGGGCACUCCCGCCCCGCAUCAAUUCCUUUACCCAAAUUUUAGUAGCCGCCGUACUUCAACCGUCGCCCACACUCCUCCGGCAUCGACCUUAUAGUAAAAUUUUAGUAGCCGAGGCAUUUGAACCGUCGCCCUCCCUCGUCCACCACCAUCCCCGCCCACCAUUAUUAAAAUUUUCAGUAGCCGUGGCAUAUCCUCAAACACCCCCCCUCCAUAGUCCCCGCCCCCUCCCCCCUUCGAACCCUAGCUCGCGGCCGCCGCCGGUGCCGCCACCAACCCUGCCGGUCUGCCCGUUCCUCCUAGCUUAGAUAAUAAAGUUCAGCUUAUCCAGCGAUUCCCAUACCGUGGCCCCACUCCCCUGAGUUUUUAGAUGAGGCAUGCGGUGUCCCUCCCCGCCAGAUCCACAUCCCCUGCUCCAGAAUGUCGCAGCCUAAGCUCGAGCAUGUAUCUCGGGGAGCCCGACGAGCAUUCGGCCAAGAAGAGGUUUAUCGUGGCCUCUCCGGUGGACGUUGGUGAGGUGGCCGCCGUUCGCCCCGACCUGUCGAUCCCGAAGCAACACAUCACCGCGGACGCCGGCGAAGACGUUGACUAUGUUGCCAUGCCAAAGGCUUCAUGUCAGCGGGCUAGCGUAUUACUGUAUCUCGGGAAAGCUGGCUAUGACAUCAAUCUCAUCCACACCGAUGGCUUCAUGCGGGCCAUGUCACAGGUUAAGUGGUCCAUCCCCAACCCCUCUGGUUCAACCGCCGUCGAUCUCUUUGACGGCCCUGUCACUGAUCUUCUCCACCAAGCGGUCAAGGAUUUGCGAGCUUUAUACGCCAUCGAGCCCAUUUUGUCACUUCUGAAGGACACGUUCUACGGCCGCGGCUUGGGAUCCUCAAUUGCCAAGUCAGAUCUCAUCGACCACGACCACGAGGAGGGCACCCACGAAGGUUCUUCCAAGGUGAAACAGCCCAUCUGUGACAUCAAAGAGCGCACCAUGGGUAUGUGCUCUUCCAACUGGAAGGAUCCUGUCCAUGAAAUGUGAGGCAACAUUCUAUCAGCAAAUAUUACCUUUUCCAGCUUGCCAACCCGUACCCUUUGUUGUAGUAGCAUUUGUCGUGUGGUGCUUUAACUGUGCCAUGUUUAAUUAUUUCAGUUAUGCGAAAAUGUAUUGUUCAAUAGGUCUAUGUGAUGUUUAAGUACGAAUUGUCCACUUUAGUUUCAUGAAUGGCUAUAUUUGGUUGUUUAUAGUGAGUAGCUGCCUUAUUUAUCUAUAUUUGGUUGUUAGGUUGGUUGGAGUGAGCAUUUUUUCAGUUAUCGAGCAGAUGCCUUGUUUAUCUGUAUUUGGUUCUUAGUUUGGUUGUGGUGAGUAUUUGUCCAGUUAUCAAGCAGACGCCUUGUUUAUCUGUAUUUGGUUGUUAGGUUGCUUUUUUUAGCAUUUGUCCAGUUAUCAAGCAGAUGCCUUUUUUAUCUGUAUUUGGUUGUUAGGUUGCUUUUUUUAACAUUUCUCCAGUUAUCCAGCAGAUGCCUUGUUUAUCUUUAUUUGCUUGUUAGGUUGGUGCAGUGAGCAUUUGUCCAGUUUUCAAGCAUAUGCCUUGUUUAUCUGUAUUUGCUUGUUAGGUUGGUUGCAGUGAGACUCUGUCCAGUUUUCAAUGGCUAUAUUUGGUUGUUAUACUGGUCAUUUAUGCCUUGUUUAUUUCAGUCAUUCACAAUGUGUGGUUCAUUAUGUGCAAGUCAGAACCGUGCCGCUUGACUACAUCAAUACCAGUUUGAACGGCUAUAUUUGGUUCUAGUUAUUCCUGGUGUAGUUAACACAUGCCCUUUAUUUUCAGUUUUACACAUUUAUCCAAUGUGAUGUUUAAGCAUUACCUAUGGUCUACUCCCUCCGUUCCAAAUUACUCGUCGCAGAAAUGGAUGUAUCUAGAACCAAAAUACAUCUAGAUACAUUCAUACUUGCGACAAGUAAUUCAGAAUGGAGAGAGUGUUCAUUUUCAACAAUACCAGUUUGAAUUGCAAUAUUUGAUGGUUGUUAAGCCAGCUGUCGGUAACAUUGCCUUCCAUUUUAUAUCUACUUUAACAGCAUGCUGAAACCAACAAAUUCAAGCUAUCAUUUGGAGAUGAUGUUUACCUUUGCUAUAUUUGUUUGAUGUUAAGAUUGAUGUACUUAUCAUGCCUUUCCACUACUUAUGCAGGACAACAACGGGAGUGGCCACCAUUUUCCGCCGAGGUUAGAUUCAUCCCUAGGCUUGUACUCCCCCCAUCGUUACAUAAUGUAGUGCAUAUAGAUCCAGGCCUGGACACUAGUUAGCCUCUAAUAUUGACUUGUUCCUUGUUGGUACAUAUGCCCUUGGCAAGGAUCCACGCAUCGACCCUUUUUGCAUAUGAGACAAUGAGAUAUUGAUGAACAAGCAUCAAGUGAGGAAACUAGUAAGGAUUAUUAGCAAAAAGAUACGAAUGGUGGCAAGCAAAUUAUUUGUUUAUGCUCUAUCCAACACAACAGUGAGUUGUAGGAUGGUAACUACAAACUCUGCAACCUUCUCUUUUUACUGCCCAUAAUGAGUUGUUAGACAACAAUGUCUGGAUCUUUUUUUCGUUCCCAGUGGUUCCCGAAGCAGUUCACUCAAGAUUACCUCGCAAAGUACAUGAUUGGUGGACACGCAAUGAAGGUUAAAGUAUUUCAUCCAGACUACAAUGAGCAUCGAGAAGUCCUAACGAAGACAGUGCAGGAUGGACAGGCAGCCAUCACAGGGGGUUGGCCUAGAGUCGUGUGUGCCUUGCGCAUGGAGGAGGGCACAAUAUGGGCAUUCCGCUUCACCUUCUCCAGCAACCAGAAUGUCUUUUGCCUCUCUCUUUACAGUCUUUAGUACAACUGUGGUUCAUCAUUCUUUACUUGGUGCUUCGGUAGUUCUUUAGUAUAUGUACCUGUGCAUUGAAUUAUGGAUUUGUGGUUGAACCUAUAUUUGUAAUAAACAUGGUUGGAUAUGAAAUAAGUGAUUGUCUACUUCCAAAUUCAUAACAUUUGAUUUUUAAAUUAGGGAUUAAUUAUGGAUUAAAUAGGGAUUACACUGCACACGGUUUGCGAAAGUGAAACGUAUGCGAUAUACGUGGAGAUCAGACAUGUUUCUAGGCUCCACUACGUGUGCGAUCAAUCUCCACUGCACACACGACUUUCUCUUGAAAAUUGUUUGCGUUAGGCCACCUUGCGCAAAUGUUUAUCACAUAAAAAGUGUGUGUGAUGGACAGCCUUUGCCAGAUAGUUUAUUUCUACGCACCGUGUGUGAUGCAUUCAAUAACGCAAACGGUAAAAUUAUUAAUAUCGUGUGCAACGACAAUGCUAUCACAAACGAUUUAACGGGAAAAAUUGUGUGUGAUGUACCUGUGAACGGAAACGUUUUCCUUGGAGCGAUUGUGUGGGAUGUACAUACGAAUGAAAACGUUUAGCAGGGACAGACUCUGUGGGAUGUACUUAUGACUGGAAACAAUUUCGCCGUAUAAUUGUAUUUUUUAGCUCUACUAUACGUAUUUUCGUAUUUGAGCACUCGCCAGUCGCACACGACCUCAUUUUGCCAAACGUGUGUGCCAGGAGGGCAUAUCCCCGACGGUUUUUGGGUCGUGUGGGAAGGACCCCCAUAUCGCCCACACUCACUUGGCGACGGUUCCAAAUGUCGUCGCGGAAAGGGGUUUUAAACCGUUUGUUUAGGACCGAUGCGCACCAGUGUGUGGGCAACGAACACUGCAUUGUAUAGAAAGAAAGUGCCAUAUCCACCUUUUACAUAGACUACGAUCUUUUACAUGGAAUACAAUCUGCCUACUUGCUUUGUGUCACACUACCAGCACUCCACCCUUGAAGCUAAACAUUAUGCCACUCAUAAUUCCUUAGUUUAUUUGUUCAAAUAUGAAUUUGAUAUGAUUAUAAUGAUCCUACUUCAAUUUUGAAAUGUGUGUCCGCCUGUUAUAGAGACAUAAGAGGUUUGUAUUUCUGUGUGUGGUCUGGUCAGCAUGGUUGGAGGAUGAACUUUGUAUACGUAGGGGUUCGUAGUGAGACACUCUUCAAGUUGAAUCCGCAAUGUAUUCCAUAGAUAAUUGACUACUUUUUAUGUUUUCAUGAAUCUCAGAUACUGAACAACAUUAUAAUGAUUAUGAGUUUGCGCGCAUGAAAAGAAUAAAGCAGAACAAUGCCAUGGUUGUCAAACUUUGCAUUAAGGGACUGAAAUCAAGUCUGGAUGCAAUGCAAUGAAAUGCAAAUGCUCUCCACCUACAGAUUCAUGCUCAGAAUAUGAUCCUAACAAUGAUUCUGAGCUAGAGGGAGACCUAAGUCAAUGUAGCUCCCUAGUGGAGGAGUCAGAGGAGAUGCCCUAUCUUAUUCACCCAUCAAGAUGCUUGCUCUAAGUUUCCAAGGUUAUAUUAGUCGCACAUAUCUUGCAACUGAUGCUUUGCAUUGCUUCUACUUUGUUGCACUGCCAUUAGCUUAGCUUACACAUCGUCUAUGUGAAUACGCCCUGCCUUUCCAUUUUUAGUACAUAUUCCAUCUGUCAUCAUACCAUAUUUAUUCAUUCAAAUGUUGUUCUUGUGUAUCAGACGUUCAAAAGGAAGAGGGUGAUUUCUCAUCAUGAAGGAGCACGAACAAAGUAUUUGGAAAAGGUAGUGACGACUGAUAAAUCAAAUAGCCCAUUAGGUGCAGUUGCAAUAUCAGCAGACCCAGAAAACUUGGCCACAACUCUAGCAGACUCUAGCCCUACUGCACUGACCAUCUCUGAUGCCCCAACUCAGCAGACCCCAACCGCAGCAAACAAUAUGAUGAUGCCAGUUGACAUAGCACCAACUCUAUGACGCAAAACUCCCAUUCUGGCAAAGAGUACACCAAAUCCAGUUGUCAAAUCUCUUUUCGAACGAGAGAGAGCCCCAAUUGCAGCAAAUAGGACCUUGUUCCACUUCUUCCCAGUGCACAUCUUUCCUUCAUGGAAAGACUAUACCACAGACAAAGAACAAUUUCCAAUCUUCCUCCGCAACUUACGCGUAAGUAAUGUACUAAUGUUAUUCAUGGUAAUUACUACAUAUGUUUAUGCUCAGAGAAGACAUAAGAUUUCAUUAUUUUAAAUUGGCAAGGACCAAACUGGAUAGUCAAUACGAUCAAGGGUUGGUUGCGCUUUUCAAGCACUCAUUGAUGAAGUACUGUUCCUACCUAAGGCAAGCACACUUAGAUGGCAAGCCUCUAAACAAAAUUGCUAUGAAGUCUCUGGUGCUACAUAUAUUAGACAGUGACUUGAAUAAUCUUGUUAUACAUUGGUCUCAUCUACGGCGUAAGGUACUGUCUAUAAUAUCACAUCACAAUUUGAACUACAUUUCUGCAUGUGCCUUAACGUAUCACUCGUACGAAAACUUUUUGCAGAAGAACAUUCAUUAUUAAGGGACCACAGAAUCUUGCAACUAUACGGCACACUGCAUUGCUCUUGUGAGUACCUCUUGCCUUGUAUGACCAUACUUACUUUCAUAGCUGGUUGAUUAUGUAGCAUCACUAGACAUGUUAACCUUGUUAUCCUCCAUUUGGUGGACAUUAUAAGAUCUGUAUCGACUCUUACAUAAAUUUAGAAUCAACCCAAUGCUUUUGAAAAGGUUUAGCUCUCCAGUCCUCUUGUGAGGGCUGAACAUCGUCUAUCACUUUACUUACAUUAACAGCCACUCCCUUCGUCCCAUAAUAUAAGAGCGUUUUGUACAGUACACCAGUGUAUAAAACACUCUUAUAUUAUGGGAAGGAGAGACUGGUUCACUAUGUAACAUUCUGCAUCUUAUCUCCCUUGCCGACCAUUUACUAAAAACUACCAGACUAUAUUUAAUCUUACCAAAGAGUUGAAUACACAAACAAUGCCAGUGCAGAAGUGUAGCACAUUGCUCUUGUCAGUACAUUUUGUCCUGUAAUGCUUGUACUUACAUGGAUUGGUAGUUGAUUAUGUAGCAUCAAUCUGCAUAUUUUCUUCAUUAUCCUCUAUCCCUUCCAGUAAUAUCAUAUCUAUAAUUACUCUCUACAAAAUGUAGAGUACAUGCAAUGCAUAUGAAGAAGAUUUUGUGCUGACAUUCUUGAGUUAUCGUUCCCUUGACAUGGAUAAGGGCAUUGUAAAGCCGGUGUUAACUAUUAAUGUAAGUCAGUCUGGCCCUCUCAACGCUCCCCCGCUCCCGCGACUAGGUUUCCCCCACUCCCCCCGCCGGCGGUCGCCAGCAGCGCGCUCCCCGCCUCCCUGAAUAAGAAAUUCGAGUCCUCGAAGAAAAAGGGUGGGUGGGCGGGAAAAAUAAAGGCAACUUGGAGACGGAUGAAACAAACACCGUUGAGAAGAAGUGAUAAUAGAUCUUGUGAAUGUUGAAAUGAUUGGAUCCACUUGAAGAGAAACACGCCGGUGAAAAGAAAUUGGCAUGACAAUCUCGAUUAUCAUGAAGGAUUAGUAUUCCCAUAGGAAUAUGAGAACACCAUUUGGGGAAGGUAUGGAAUCAACAUUUGACUUCGAAGCAACUCGAAUACCACAACUCAAAAACAAAAACAAAGGAUUGGAUUGCAGAAUAAGCCAGGACAAACAUAUGAUAGAGAUUUCGUCCGAAGUUUUCGUGGUGGGGCCUACACGGGCUCGAUUGUACAACACCAUCAUGUACAAGGCAGUGCACAUGACAUACGAAGCGUCCCCGAGUCGGCAUAGCCAAGGACCCUUUAAGACACAACGAGACCACUGUAAAAUCAACCGUGAAUAGGCGGACCACUAGACGUCGAACCCCAAUUUCAUAUCAUACAUCUGUCGGAAAGAUAUCCUAAGAGCUACUUGAAUUCCCACUUAUAAACUCCCGAAUUUUCUAGUUAUGCAAUCAGGUGUUGGGGAUACAAGGGAAGCAUAAUAUCUCACCCAAAACUAGCAAAUCCUACAUCCAGCUGUAUCCAUCCUUCAACACAUAACCAAGAAACCUUCGGAAAUCAUCUACCUCAACCUUCGAAAAGCAUCCGUUAUACAAGUUAUGGCAAUACUCCCGAACUCCCGCCCCAGUACUGGGUGGCGUCGAGGUUAUCUCACCAACAACUGCAUAGAAGAGAUUUUCAAUGUCGGCGAAACUAAACUCAGGUAUUCCAGAACUGCAAUGAUAAAAUUGUGACGACAACACCUCGGAGCUCAACUCCCCGGGACACUGCCACAACCCCUAAAUGACAGGAGGCACCAAGAACAAUGUUCUCAUCACAAAACCAUCGGAACGAUUCCAAGAUACCCGCGUGAUCCUAAAAAUUUUUUAGUGAAAUUUGAGAAGAGAAGAGUCAAAACUCUACGUCAGGAUGCCUUACCAGAGCGAUGAAGGGACUGAGGAGUAAAAAGAAUUCCUAAACUCUUCGAUAUAUAAUUCCUAAAAGACUCAAAACAUUUUUCUAGACUCAACUCGUCAGCUAAUUCGAUCAAGCAGGGGGGCUCCUAAGGUCGGGGAAGGCUCUGAUACCAACUUGUAACACCCUCGAUGUGACUAUAUCUCCCACGUGUCGAAGCACGACUUAGAGGCAUAACCGCAUUGAAAGCAAUGUCGCAAGUGAGGUAAUCUUCACACAACCCAUGUAAUACAUAAGGGAAAGAGAUACAUAGUUGGCUUACAAUCGCCACUUCACACAAUUACAUGAAUAAAGCAUUACAUCAUCCAAAUACACUCAAGGUCCGGCUACGGAACCAAAAUAAAAGAAGAACCCCAAAUGCGACACGGUCCCCGAUCGACCCCAACUGGGCUCCACUACUGAUCAACUAGAACGAAACAACACAAAGGACAAGAUCUUCAUCGAGCUCCUCCUUGAGCUUGGUUGCUUCAUCUGCACGGACUCAUCGGCACCUGCAAGCUGGUUUUGGAAGUAUCUGUGAGCCACGGGGACUCAGCAAUCUCGCACCCUCGCGAUCAAGACUAUUUAAGCUUAUGGGUAAGGUAAAGGUAUGAGGUGGAGCUGCAACAAGCGACUAGCAUAUAUGGUGGCUAACAUACGCAAAUGAGAGCGAGAAGAGAAGGCAAUGCACGUUCGAGAAUCUAUGAUCAAGAAGUGAUCCUAGAACAACCUACGUCAAACAUUACUCCAACACCGUGUUCACUUCCCAGACUCCGCCGGAAAGAGACCAUCACGGUAACACACGCGGUUGAUGUAUUUUAAUUAAGGUCAACUUCAGGUUUUCUACAACCGGAUAUUAACAAAUUCCCAUCUGCCCAUAACCGCUGGCAUGGCUUUCGAAAGUUCAAAUCCCUGCAGGGGUGUCCCAACUUAGCCCAUGACAAGCUCUCACGGUCAAUGAAGGAUAUUCCUUCUAGCGGGAAGACCCGAUCAAACUCGGAAUCCCGGUUUCAAGACAUUUCGACAAUGGUAAAACAAGACCAGCAAAGCCACCCAGAUGUGCCAACAAAUCACGAUAGGAGCUGCACAUAUCUCGUUCUCAGGGCACACUGGAUGAGCCAGACGUCGGGUGGGCCAGCCCAGAGUUGCCCCUGGUAACUCCGGACAUCGCUCGGUUUGGACCAACACUCAGAGGAGCACUGGCCCGGGGGUUUGAAAUAAAGAUGACCCUUGAGUCUGCAGAACCCAAGGGAAAGAAAAGGCUAGGCGGCGAAUGGUAAAACCAAUGUUGGGCCAUGCUGGAGGAGUUUUAUUCAAGGGAAACUGUCAAGGGGUUCCCAUUAUAACCCAACCGCGUAAGGAACGCAAAAUCCGGGAACAUAACACCGAUAUGACGGAAACUAGGGCGGCAAGAGUGGAACAAAACACCAGGCAUAAGGCCGAGCCUUCCACCCUUUACCAAGUAUAUAGAUGCAUUAAUUAAAUAAGAUAUAUUGUGAUAUCCCAACAAGUAAACAUGUUCCAACAAGGAACAACAUCUCCAUGUUCCAACAACGAACAAACUUCAAUCUUCACCUACAACUAACAACGCUAUAAGACGGGCUGAACAAACGGUAACAUAGCCAAUCAACGGUUUGCUAGGACAAGGUGGGUUAGAGGCUUGGUUCAACAAUAUAGGAGGCAUGUUAAGCAAGUGGUAGGUAUCGCAGCAUAGGCAUAGCAAAAGAGCGAGCAACUAGCAAGCAAAGAUAGAAGUGAUUUCGAGGGUAUGGUCAUCUUGCCUGAAAUCUCGCAAGGAAGAAGAACGAGUCCAUGAAGAAGACACACGGACGAAGUCGAACGGAUCCUCACAAACGUGACGUUACCGGAACCAACCCAAAGAAGCAACACCGGAAAGAAGCACACAACAUAGUAAACAACCAACACAUGAGCAUGACACGGUGCGCAAACAAGUAUGAUGCAUGUCUGGUUUAAAUAUGCAUGGCAUGGCAAUGGGUACAAACAAAACUACAAGUUAAGUGGAGCUCAAUAUGUAACGAGUUGCAUAUUGAUGGAACGCCACAUCAAUUAUUUAGUUCUCUCUCGUUUAUGUACACAACAAUAUUAAAUGUUGGUAAGCAUGUCAAGAGGUGAAACGUGAGUAAAAUACACAGUCUAAGCAAUUUAAAUGGGGCCGGAUAUAACAAACAACAAAUCAGGUAAAUACCCAUAUGCAUUAGUAAUUUAUUGCAACAACAAUUUAAACAUUUUAAUUGUUGUUAUCAUGAUGCGGAUGACAUGUGCAAGUUUAUGCAAUUUUUAUUAAAAGUUUGACAAGAGCAUUAUGAAGCAUUUGGUCGCCAUGGCGGAACAAAAGGGGUGCCACGGCAACUACAACGGAAAUGGUGCUACAGCAACAUUCCGGGUGAUCCGACAACUCAUUGAGAUGUCGGUGCAAGAGAAAAUGUGGUUGAACGGAUCAUGCGAGGAUGGUGGGGUGAUCCCGGAUACCGGGUUUCCCAUGGGUCGACGGCAUGGCAACCGAGGAGGAACGUGCAAUGACAACUCGGACACGGUUCGAACAUGAGCAUCUCAUACAACAUGCAUUCAUUCUUGGAAGGUCGUCUCGGCGGUUAUACCUUUGAAGCAUGCGUUAUCGGAGGGGUUCAGGUUCGAUGCGGUGUAGGGGAAGUAGACAUUCUCGGGACGCUCGAUAGUGGAAGUAGGGGGACAAGACGACGGUAGAGGUACUCGUGAUCUUGGCGGCGGUAGUCGUUCACGUUCUUAGUUGCACGAUUUUUCAUAGAUGUUCGGGAUCACGGCGAGGGACUUGACAUCCACGGAGGCUUCAAGGGUCGACGGUAGUUGUUCUCGUAUCAUCGCGGAAGUAGUCGUACUCGACGAUAGUGGUACUUGGUGUUUCGUUCGGUACUCGUUCGAGCAUCCAAAGUCUUCGGCGCUACGGUAGUCGUACACACAUUCGGAGAGGACUUGUCAUUUCGGUAUGAAGUCGUUCGGGCGUCGGUCUUGCCGGUGGCGUACUUAGAGAAACCCCGUAGUCGUACAUAGGUAGUAGAGGAACUUGACGCAUCCAAACGAAGCAAAACGAAAGCCUCGGGUCUUGGUGGUCAACGCAGGGAGGCAGGCGACGAAGAGCUUGGUCUCCUCUGCACUGCUUCGAUGUAAAGAAACAGGAGGCAGAGGCGAGACGGGCAACGCGAGACGGGGACAGAUGAGGCAGGCGCGGGACGAGCGGAUUCUAGCCGCCGGCGAAGGAUCCAGGCGGGCACAGCGGCAAGGGCCCUGGACGGCGUCUGCUACAGAAGGUGUCCCGCAAGGUUAGGAUGGAGCGGCAGUGGAGUCGCGAGGAAUGCAGGGGCCGCGGGUGAGCUCGCUUGGGGAGCUCGUCGGGCGCAUCUGGUCGAUGUCAAAGCCAACAGAGGCACAGCGAGAGGAGCUCGGCCCCUGGCACGUGUGAGGACGGGAAGGAGCGGCGCGGCUCCUUUGCGGCUUGGACUCCACCGGCCGGAGCGACAGCAGGGAGCUCCUUCUCCCACCGAAGACGGCGACGGGAGGAAAGGGAGAGAGGCGACGCGAAGAUGGAGGCGCCAUGGCGUGUGCUAGCGCGGCGCUGGAGGGAGACGAGGGGAAACGGGCAAGCGGCGGCGCUGAAAGGGCAUUGAGGGAGAGAGCGGCGGCGAGGGAGCGAAGGGGUGCAGCGCGUGCGUACUGAUCCCCUCUGGCGGCGUUGAGGGACGAGGAGGGAGCGAGGGGGAGGAAACAGGGAGGCUAGGGGUUCGGUCGGGCCUUGGCUGGUUCUUGGCCCGGCCGGCCUGAGGCUGUAGCCGGGCCUUAGGGGAAAAAGGAUGGGCCACCCUGAGAUCUAGGCUGGGCUCUCUCUCUCACUCUAGAACGAAAAAAAACAGAGAAGAAAAAAAACAAGAAAGAAAGAAAGAAAAGAGAGAAAAGAAGAUGGUAGGAGAAAGAAUAUAUUCUCAAACUCAUAAAAAAUGAGUCCAAUCCCAGAAAAUAGGAGUGGGCAUGGAUGCAAGGUUUAGAUUCAAACACAUUUGAAUUAAAUUCAAAUGGGUGAAUAGGAAGUGGAGGUUUGGAAGGUCCAAAAAUGUUCGGUUUUUAGAGGAACCUCGAUAAAAGAGAUACAGAAUUAUGGACAAGAUGUGAAGGUCAAACUCGAAGUGGAAAUAGGCAUGAGGAUUAUUUUUGCACGUGUGUUAUGGUGAAUAUCAAAUUAAAGAAAUAUUGAAUAUAGCUCCCUACUAUCGGGAGGGUAGGUUAUAAAGAGAAACCACCAAGUGAGUUCCCUCGAUUUAAAUGGAUCGAAGAUCCACACAAUUUAUUUAGUUGAGUUAAGAAAAGAAAUGACAUGAUGGCAUGAUGACACGAUGCAAUGCACAUGAUGCAAUGAUGAAUGCAAAGAACCAAACAAAUCACACGACGAAACCCGGAAACAUGGAAGGCAUCUGAAGCUCCGGUCUUGGGGCGUCACAAUAUGCCUGAGGCAUGCACAAGUCUACUGAAGGUUGUGAGACAAACCCAACAUAUAUUGCAGCAAAGAAGGCAAAACAUCUUGAAGAUAGCGAGACAACCCCAAAGUCAUGUCUUGAUGCAGUGUCCAAGUUACUUGAGACUAGCAGUCAGACAAGCUCACACAAUUCGCUGUCUAAAUCAGUUCGACUUCUUCAGUCCCAAGUUCAAGCAGAAAGGAAUUCUGCAACUCAACUUUGACUUGAAGUCCUAUCUCUAAGGAAGAUUGCGGAGAACACCAAUGAGAACCUCAUUGCUAAACAGCUACGCCUGGAAGCUAUGACCGACAUGCUAGGCCGGUCUCACAGCCUUGCUCAGCAGCUUGCGUAGCAGCUCACGGGCAAGGCUAACUUUUCUUGAACUGUCUUGGAAGUGGUCUUGGUUCAGUAUUAUUUCGUUACACUACAAUGGUGCCCAGUUUUUGUAAUCUUCUUCUUCGUUACGCUUUAUGAUCAUUGGUGGUGAACUUUGAUGCCCAAUAGAUGUAAUAUACCAUAAACCCUUUAUUGUAUAGUGUAGGUUUAUUCUAAGUUACUAUGCCGUGAUUUCUUUAUUGUAUAGAGUAGGUUUGUCCUUAAUUCCUACUAGUUACCAUAUAUGCCAUCAUCCGCCAUCUGAAAAAAUGGCGAAAAUCUGAUGUAGUCGACCGGGUCGAAACAUUUGCCUCUAACGGGCCUGCAUUUUAGUAGGACACAAUUGGGCCGGCCUGCAACUUUCUUGGGCCUGAAAGGCCAUUGGGGCCCUUCACACUUUGCGCCAGACCCACAACUUACACGAGCCUACAUUCGUCCCAAAGUUUAGUUGGGCCUUUAGUGGACCCAACGCUUAGUUGGGCCCAUGUAGCUUUGGGCCAUUAAGAGGGUGAAUAUUCUGGUGGCCUGUUAUGGCCCAGAAGAUACAAUGGGCCUUUACCGGGCCGAAAUGCAUGUUGGGCCUCAAUUUUCAAUAGUCGUCCACGGGCCUUUAUCAGGCUGAAAUGUGGACCGGGCCAUUAUUGGCCCAGUUAUAGGACGGGCCAUUACUAGACCAAAACAUAUCUCGGUCCUUAGUUGGCCCACUGAUAUCAUGGGCCUUUAAGAGACUGAAAGCUUAGUAGAGGCAUCAACGGGUCGAAUUAUAUGACGGGCCUUUAACAGGCCCAAAGUUACGUUGGGCUGAACUAUUGCCACCUUGAUCACAAGCAGUUAGUGAGCCAGAUGUCACGUCGUACCAUAUAUGGCGCAUGGGCAGCACAGGCCAUUCCCAGGCCGAAAGACACACCGGGCUAAAAUGGGCCCAUGUCUACAUCGGGCCUCUAACAGGCCAAAAUGUCACUGGGCCAUUUUUGGGCCCAAAUACUCGGCGGCCAAUUAACGUGCCAGAUCUGUCUUUGGGCCGUAAAUGGGCCAUGUUUAAGUAGGCCCUUAGUGGGCUGGCCCACCAGUACCUGAGUGAAUACUAUGGGCCUUUGACUGGCCGGCCUUUUAACCUAUAUGGGCCUCUGUUGGGCCCUGCCACAUGUCGAUGUAUCAUAGGCACGUCUCCUCCAUUGGAUGGACGACAUCUGGCCCACCAAGGAGCCGACACGUGUUUCCUCCAACCAAUGAUGAUUUUAGACGUGGAAAAUCUCCAUUGGUCCAGACUGUUAACGGGUUAUUGGAUCCAAACCGGAACCCGAUAGCUUAACGGCGACCCGUUAUGGUGAUGCCAUGUGUCGGUUACCCUUGACAAAAGCACUUCCAUGAUGCGCCAUUUAUAGUCAUGGAAGUGGACACUUCCGUGAUGAUAAUUUUGGUAUUGUCAUGGAACACUUCUACGACAACACAGGUAUGACUAUAUUGAUUCUGUCAUAAAAUUGUCAUGGAUGUACAUGCAUGACAGAAAACGUGACCUAUUGUGACAAACACGUAUCAUGACAAAGGUGGUUUUGUUUUUGUUUGUGAUACUUUCUAGUGAUGACCGUAGUUUGAGGAGUUCAUGUAUGCUUUGAUCCAGUUCUCUAUUAAAGGAGGCCUUAAUAUCCCUUAGUUUCCUUAUGGACCCCGCUGUCACGGGAGGGUAGGACAAAAGAUUGCAUGCAAGUUCUUUCCCAUAAGCAUGUAUGACUAUUUACAAAAUACAUGCCUACAUUAUAUUUAUGAACCGGAGCUAGUUCUAUAUCGCCCUAGGUUAUGACUGUUAUAUGAUGAAUAUCAUCCAGUGAAUUCACCGAUCCAAUGCCUAUGAAUUUCCCACAUAUUGCUCUUGCUAAGUUACUACUGCCAUUGCUACUGUUACAACUGCUACAAUACUGUUACUGUUGUUACCGUUACUAUUGCUACUGUUACCACUCCUAUCAAAACUAUCAUAUUACUGUGCUACUGAUCACCUUGCCGCAGAUAUUUAAUCUCCAGGUGUGGUUGAAUUGAAACUCAACUGCUAAUACUUACAAAUAUUCUUUGGCUUCCCUUGUGUCGAAUCUAUAAAUUUGGGUUGAAUACUCUACCCUCAAAAACUGUUGCGACCCCCUAUACUUGUGGGUUAUCAGUAGCAUAAUUUCUUUAAGCGUCGUCUAGAGUUUUACUAGCAUAAUGGAUAUUCAAUUUCUUAUCAACCCUUCAUAUAGUAGAAGAUGGGGGCCUGGGACUGCCAGUGGCCCCACAAGGUACUUGGGCACGCCCAGGGGGUGGCCACGCCCAAGUGCCUUGUGGGCAACUAGUGGGACCCCUGUGGUACUUCAUUGCUCUGGUAUUUUUAGUAUAUUUUAUAAAAAUUCUCCGUGAAAUUUCCACUCAUUUGGAGUUGUGCAGAAUAUGUAUCUCUGAUAUAGCUUUUUCAGGUCCAGAAUUUCAGCUGCCGGUAAUCUUCCUCUUCUUGUAAAUCUUGCAAAUUAAGAAAGAAAAGGCAUUAGAAUUGCAUCACAAAGUGUUACAAUGAUCAAAACAUUAUAAAUAACAGUAGGAAAACAUGAUGCAAAAUGGACGUAUUAUCUGCCACUAGCCACGCAACUGCAACUGCAUGUGUUCAACGUGUUUGCAACUACGUGUUGUUUUGUGAGGGUGGAAAGAGAGUUGCAUGUCUGCUGCUAGGAACGCAAUUGCAAUUGUCGCCCCCGACUGUAAUUAGGUAGUGUUUUGUCAAGGGAUUGGGAAUUACAUGUCUACUAUUGGGAACACAAGUGCAAGUGUCACUAGGAUUGCAACAACAUGUCUUGAAAGGUGCAACUAUGGAGUAUAAUGUUUCUUUUGCCUUGUUUUGUUGUGUCUUGUUGCAUGUGGCCUUUUCAUUCUUCUAUCUAUCUUAGUUUUCCCAUUUUUAACACCCGACAGCCUACGCACAACUAGAGUAGUACGUGGUUUAUUUUAUUUUUACCUAGUUUCUUUUCUCUUUUUUAUUUUAAUUUUACACGUGCACCACCCUCGUAUCCCCGUGUGCAACCAUGUUGAACACACGACUAAAGUUGCACAGUCCUGUUUUUUCAUUUUUCAUAAACAUUGUCUCUGUAUCUAAAUUGUGUGUCUUGCUAUUUUAAUAUUUUCAUAUGUUAAUUUAUCCACUUGUUAAUGUCUUUUUGCACUUUUAAAACGCUAUUGUUGCAGAUAAUUUAUGUUUACUUAAAUGGGCGUAUACUCAUAUAUAAUGAGUCAGCUGGGUUUGAUUUUUUGGUGGGUCUAUGAUUUUUUUUUAUUCUGGGGAUUUUUUGUGAUGCAUUGUGUUUUUGGCAAAAUAAUUGUACUUUUAGGUGAUGGUCUUUCGUUUGGGCAGUAGACACACAAUACAUUGCCGUUUGCAUUUUUGUGCUACAUAUAAGCGUUUGAUUUUGAAAACCUCAUAAAACAACUCAUGUUUUUAGACUAACUAGAUGAUACCCCGCGCGUUGCCGCGGGAACUUGUUGUGAUUUUUCUUAGCAGUAGAUAGAAAAAAUACGAACAAUAUCGCGGUACAUUAUUAUGCCAAACUACUUCAAGAGACAAUAUAUUACAAAUGUGAGCGGAGGCAAGGAGAUGAAAGCAUGAAAUAAGGGUAUAUUGUGAAAGCUUCGGAAACUGUCCAUACAAUUAACUUUUCCGUUGAGCAUGCAAACAAAUUCCCUACCCUAUCUCAAAUUCCUAGUUCUUUUCAGGGUCCCUUCUAAUUACUAUGAAUGGCUAUAUAGUAAAGAAGGUCUUCCACUUGUCAACUAAAAAAUAUGAAAUGACUAAAAAUAUUUGAACUUAGUUAUUGAGCAAAGUCGCACGCAAAUACCAUGAGGAAACCAUAAAUAUGUCAUCUUGAAAAAUCUGCAGUCAAAGGAAAAUAGCAUGUUUUGACGACAUUCUUUAUCAAAGUAGUUGACACAUUGGUAUGCAACUGUAAAAAUUGUGGUGAGACAAAUAUGUGUACUGUUACAUAUGAGAAGAUGACAACUCGAUUAGUCAGAACUUAUUAGUUGGUUAAGUGUAAUUUGUAUUAAAGGUAUAUGCUAUUGUACUACUUUUUGUCAGAUACAGAAAUUAAGACUUUAUGCAAUAGUUUUUUAUGCAAAUUGUGUGAUCGUCUUACCCGGAAAAAAAAAUAUUGUGCGAUCGUGAAAAUUUUAUUCACGUCAACUCAAACAUUAAUUUUAAUGAAAAAAUCAUAAUAACCUAGGAUUACCUGGCACGAUGGCUUGAGAACCAAUAAUGUAAAAAAUGGUGAGCAGUCACUUAGAAUAAACAAUCUUACAUCGGAUAAUUUGAUGUUUCUUGUUGAAUCGAAAAAGAGAUCAAGAUAAGCAUGGCCUCAAAUCCUCAUGGCACCCGCCGGUUCGGGUGCGGGUAAUACGCGCCCAAACCCUUACCCGUCUCAAAAUUUUUAGCCCAUACCCAUACCCUUACCCACACCCCGGGUAUAAAAUUGUUCCCAUACCCGUACCCGGCCGGGUACGGGUAAUACCCGCGGGUAAAAAUACCCAACUCUGUCACCUCACCCAAUUGACAUUUCAGCAAGUAUAUUGGAGCGUUUCAUCACAUAUAUACAAUAUUUCAUCAAUUCAACACGCAUAUUUCAUUAUUUUAGCAACAUAUAUACCACAAGUCAACAUUUCAGCAACAUAUAACCCAUUUUCAACUCAUAUAGACAACAUUCCAACACAUAUUUCAGCAUUGCAGCACUUAUAUACAUCAUUCCAGCACAUAUAAACAUCAUUCCAGCUCAUAUUUCGGCAUUUCAGCACUUAUAUACAGCAUUACAGCACAUAUAAUCAGCAUUACAGCACAUCUAAACAGCAUUUCAGCACAUAUAGGUACCAUUUUAGCCAUAGACAUAACACAUUUCAGCCAUAGAUUGGACACAAAUAGGUUAUAGGUUCGACAAGCAAAUAUGUUUGACAUAUAAAGGUUCAACAAGCACAUAGGUUUGAGAAAAAUAGGUUCAAGUUCAAUGCACAAAUAGGUUCAAGUUUGACACAUAGUCAUCAUAUCAACUUGAGCAUCUCCUACAUGACACAAAAUCCAAUUGAGUAGAUUGAUCUUCUCUCCACUUCAUCUUCAUGAGCCUUGACAUCUCACUCAAAGCGCCAAAUCCUAGUUUGAGACAUAUGCAAGAAAGACAUGAGAACUUGAAUUGUGGAGAGUUAUAUAUUUCCAAGACAUAAACAAGAAAGGUAUGUGUGCACUUCUUAUGUACCUGCAUCCCUUCUUGGAUGUCUUGAAGGCAAGUCCAAAAGCUAGCUUCUCCUGUGUUAGCAUCUACAAAAGUAAACAAUUGUCAACAAUCUGAAAACAAGAGAAAAUAUUAAUAGAAAGCACUAUUUGCUCACCUUUGAACUUGUUUCUAAGCCAAUCUUGUGAGCACAUCAAAACCUCAACCAUAUGUGGUGUCAAUCGGCUUCUAUGGUCAUUGAGCUUUCUGCCACUUGUAGAAAAGGCUGAUUCUGAAGCAACCGUUGUAACAGGAAUAGCAAAUAUGUCCCUUGCAACUUUCCUUAAGGUUGGAUACCUAGUUCCAGCCACUUUCCACCAAUCCAACACGUUGAACUUCUCAACAUAAGGCACUAAUCCAUCAUUCAAGUAUUGAUCUAUUUCACCUUGAAGUCUAGCUGUUGCAGGCAUUUGUUGAGCUACAAUGUUUUGAAAGACACUCAUGAUUGCAGGAGCUUUCAUUGUAGAAAUCAUAGAUUCUUCAUCCGGUGUAUAUGCCUCAUUUUCCACUUCAUAUUCUUCUAAUAAUAAGCGCAGACUAGCAACUAUGUCAUCAACUUUUUCAAUGCAUUCAUAAGAAGAUGGCUCAAUGCCAUGGAGCAUGGCAAAGCAAGCUACCAACAUUUGCUUCUUGUAUCGAGGAUCAAGAAUUAUAGCUAUAGCCAUUAGACCUUGGAUGUCGCUCCAAUACUUAUCAAAUUUUUCAGUCAUGCUUUUUGUCAUUUCUUUGAUAGUGUUGUUGCUAGAUGCUUCCCACUGCCUCAUUUUCAUUUUAAUUUCACAUAUCUUAGGAAAGUACACAUUGGCAGUCACAUAAUCAGUUCCAGAAAAUAGCUCGGUUAUUUCAUAGAACAACCUAAGCCUCUCUACAACAUCUACAGCAAAAGCCCAUUCUUCUGAACUAGGCAGCCACUCAUAUUGCUUUUCUUUUUCUUUUGCACGUUCAAAGACAGGUCUAUAAGGCAAAGCAAUAUCAAGCAUUACAAAAGUAGAGUUCCACCUAGUCUUGCAAUCAAGUCUCAACUUCCUUUUUAUAUUCACUUUCUUAUACUUGGCCAUUUCCUCAAACUUCUCUAUCCUUUUUGGUGAGGCGGUCCAAUAUGCCACACUUUCACGAAUGUUUUCUAUAGCUGAUUGCAUAACAUCUAAGCCAUCCUUCACUAUCAAAUUCAAAAUAUGUGCACAACAACGCAUGUGAAGUAAAGUACCUUCACAAAGAAGCUUACUUUUUCCUAUCUUCCCCACAAUCUCCGCAAUUGCCUUGUCAUUGGCAUUGCAAUUAUCAACGGUCACAGUCAAGAGCUUUUCAUCAAGAUUCCAUUCAACCAAUGAUUCAUGGAGCUGAUCAGCUAUCACUUCCGCAUUAUGUGGUGCUGGAACAUAAAUAAACCUACAAUAUGCACACAAAUGCAAUAGUUGAUGAAAGCUUAUUAAUGGACCGCUGAAAAUAAGUACAACGAAAUGGACUGCUGAAAAUAUAUGAUGUGGGAACAUGUAUAUACCUCAUGAGAAUGUUCCUUAGCCUCCAAGACUCGUCAAUGAAACGGGCUGUAAUAGCCAUAUAUCCCUUCUUUUGGCUGUCAGAAGUCCACAUAUCGGUGGUGACUGCGACCCUUGAUUGUACCAUACUCAUAUACUCGAUGGCCUUCUUCUUUUCUAUGUCGUACCUUUCCACAAUGUCAGUUCUACAAAACAGAAGAUAAGGAACAGAGUCAAUGUUAUUUGCACAAGAGAAACUAGAAACAUUAAGAGGAAAUAGAAAACUAAAGACAUAGCAGCAUAUUACGGUUAUUACCUAAUAGUAUUUCUAGUAUGCAGCUUGAACAAUGGCUGAAGUGCAGCAACGAAUCUCCUAAAACCAACAUGGUCCACCAUAGACAAAGGAUAAUCAUGCAACACCAACAUGUUGCCAAGCUCUGCUCUAGCAUACUCUUGAUUAAAAGUGUAGCUCUCCAUGCUCACUUUCCCAUCAUUCUCGGCCAUCACCUUCAAUGAGGCUUGAUGCAAAGUUUUACCAUCCUUCGUCUUCAACUUCCUAAGAGUGCAAAUCUGAAGAUGCAACUUUAGAUUCUUGGUACCAUUCCUUGAUCCUGCGGUAAGUGUCUUAUGACACCAAUUACACUUGGCCUUCCAUUCUCCAUUUAUCUUGAUCUUCUUCAUGUCCAACCAAACCUUAGACGUGAGCUUGCGACUAGAUGGUUGAUGCGGAUGCACCUCUUCCGCCUCAUCCUCUUCUCCUUCAUCAUCUGAAAUGCUAACAUGAUUUCCAUCUUCAUCCAUUGGUGUCGCUGUGUCCAUGGACUCAUCUACUUGGCUAGUAUCACUGAACAAGAAAGUUAACAAUUCACUAUAUAGCAGAACCAGAUUUGUCCAAACUUAAUAUACCACACAAAAAUGUUUACAGGAUCAGUCAUAGAAAUUGCUUUGUAAAAGUUACAGAAAUGAUUCACCGUAUAUAACCUUCUUUUGUAUUACAAGAUCAAACUACACUAAAUGAUUUACAAAAACGAUUCACUUUAUAUAACCUUCUUUUGUAUAUACAAGUUUUUCUCCUAAACUAGAACAAGUCAAUGAUCUGGAAAUAAAUUUAUGGCAUGGCAUUCUAACUCCCAAAUUUGUUGUUCCAAUUCAUGGGUAUACAAAACUUCUAUCCUGAACUAGAACAAUAAAAUCUGAUUCUAAAGAUCAACAAGAUAACAACAUUUAGUACAUAUUUAUCAACACUCACUUUCAUGUUACAACAUACUUCAUACACAACAGAAUCAAAUAGAUCAGUUCAUGCAUCAUAGAAUUUUAUGAAAAAGUGAGAAAAAUUUCACCGCUUUGGACGCUUUGGUGCCCUUUUCGCUGGUGGGGUCAAUUUGUUCCUCGCAGAAGCAGGAGCAGUCGGACUCUGCCGGGUGCUGGCCACCGCCGUCGCACCUCCACGGCCACGGCCACGGCCCACCUUGUAACCGGGCGCAGAUGAGUUGGAGCGGCGCCCGGGAUUCUGCCCCGUUGAAGGUGGUUGGAGACGCAUGUUCUUGGAGGUAAACGAAGGCGUCGGCGUCCGCACCUGAGAACCACUCCCGCCGGCGCCAUCUUGUCCGAGAUCUUCCUCAUCCACGGGUGUUGAGGUUGAGCGGACGAGGUCCCCAUCCGCGCCGAAGUAGUGGGCCUCCUCGAUGUCCUCUGGACCGCUCUCCAUCCGCGCCGAAGUUGAGGCCGGGAGGUGCUCCGUUUACUCCGGCAGUUGAGAUGGAAGAGCUGCGGCAACGACAAGCGAGAUGAGUGGAGGAGGCGCUGUGGAGGGAGGAGAUGUGGAGACGAGGGAGAUGGCCUGGUGCCCUGACCUGGCAGCCGCAGCGGCCGGCGGUGGCGGCAGCCGGUGGCGGGGGCAGCCACCUAGGGUUGCAGCCCGGGUGAGAGAGAUGGGUGUGACGGCGCGAUGGGGUGAGGGUGAGGGGUCGAGGGGCGGACAGGGUUUUGUGCGCUGCGGGCCUGCGGGGGCUAGGGUUGCGGCCACUGGGUGCUUAGGCUAGGUUUUUUUUCUUUUUCUAGUGAAUGACAUAGGGGGCCUACAUGUAAGAUGUAGUAACAUGCGGGUAGGCGGGUAGACGGGUAUGGGUAUUGCAUUCCCGUACCCAUACCCGGCUUACCCGAUGGGUAUAGAUUUUUCUCAUUUAAAUACCCAUGGGUAUUUUAUUUUCCCAUACCCUUACCCUAAUAGGGUUUUUACCCGUCGGGUUAGCGGGUAACGGGUAGCCAUUGCCAUGAGGAACCUCAAAUAAGGGCAAAGUUUGAUAUCCAUGUGAGCCGUGUGUCGGAUCCCCUAUUGCACCACCAUGUCUUUUGGAUAACCUGCAAUAUCUCAACAUGGUUUAAACCUGGAAUUUUUGGAUAACCUGCAAUUAAGAUAAAUAUGGUUUAAACCAUGCACUUUUUUCCUGAAUAUGCCAAAACAGAAUUUAUGUCACAAUCCAAAAAGACAGUGUCAAAAUGCAGAGCCUAAUUGUCAAUUAGCUAUACCCAGAACAUUGACAGAUAUAAAAUAAUCGGCAGCUUAAUUAACUGCUAGAUACUGUGGCAGCAAAGCAGCUAGACAACAUAUAGGAGUAUUGUGAAGAGGGAGAUUUGGACGAAACCUGAUACAAUAGGGGAAUUGAAACCAGAUGUCUGCGAUGGAUAGGCCUCGAGAAUCAUCCCAUCAAGCAUGCGUAGUACCAGCAGGCAUGAGCGUGGACGACCGAGGCUGCAGAUUCAUCUUAUCAAAGGAGAAACUUGUGAAUCAAAAAUUAUGCUCGGGGUGGAGACAGAUCCCAUGGAGAAGAUAGAGACAACACAUUGACUUGUCGAGGGACCUGGGAGGGGUGGAAACAGAUGCAAUAGAAAAGGUGGAGAAGAAGGAGAUGGCUCCCCGGGGAUGAUGGGUUGAGAUUUCAAUCGAGGGGGAAUGGUUGCAGCCAGCAGUUGCCGCGGAGACGAUGGUAGGGGCUGCUCCGUGUAUCACUGCUUGAAGGCGAGCGGAGCUACUAUAACGAAUCCAUCUGCAACUCUUGCUUGGAGAAUAUGUGGAGGAAGGAGCAAAUUCAUCAAUCCUUUUAGUACUUGAGUGGACAUCGGAUAGGAUGAAGAAGAAGCAUACCAAACUAAUAAUGGUGAAGACAAAGUGAAGCGUACACGAGAAGAAGGGUCCGUGGAGAUGGGAAAAAUUUACGGGAGAUUAUUAGGAGUGACAUGCUAGAUCAGAAUCAGACUGAUUGGUUGGUUUUGCAAACUGAAUGCUGAUGUGGCACCAUGCUGGUGUGGACAUUGUGUAUGUUGAGAGAAUGUAAGAUUUCCUCGGCAUCUUUUCUUUACACCCCUUUUUUCAUUAUUUUAUUUUUUUUCAACUUUUUCAUCAAUUGAGCAACCUAUUUCUGACAUAGCUUAAUUGCAACGAUGCACAAAAACAAUUUAGCCUAGCUUUCCCAUCGUUCUGAUGAUUUUUGCCAGCCGAACGAGUGCAUAAUGUGAGCGAAGUGCUACAACCUAGUCCAGUUGAGAAAAAGUUUUUUUAGGCAAAGUUGAGAAAAAGUAAAAGACAGGCAGACGGACAAACAAACGGGAGAAACUAGUUAACGAGCGCUCCUUCGGGAGCUUCGCAACGAUCAGCGCCACGUGGCGCGCUCUCAACCAUUCGCCACGUAUCGCGCUAUGGACGCUCUAUCCGGAUUUUGGUUUUUUAUUUUUCCGCACGCGUUUUCGCUUUUUAACGGGGUUUUUCAAUGUUUUGGUUUUCCGCCGGUCUUUCUAAGCUUUUCGAUCAAAAGAAUUUUGAAAAAAAAAUACGCGAAAAAAACGCAUUUUCUUUUUUUUUCUUUCGCGAAAAUCACGGUUUUUUUCCGCGAGAGGCACGGUUGUGAUCAAUGUGGUGACUAGCACAAGCAUGCAAAGUAGCUCUCGUGAUAUUGCUGAUUUCAGAGACUUAGAAUUUCACUAAGUCUUUGCUCUGCUGUUAUUUUUUAUGUCAUGUAUUCAUGUUGCUACAGAGUGAUCCAUGCUUCAUUUGAGUAUGUUCAGUAAGGAUGAUUUUGAGAUAUUGUUGUGCUCUAUCCAUCCAUGUCCCUGUUUGCAUUUAUGGAAUGCCCUAGCAUGACUCGAUCUUGCUCUAGUUUUGCUAUAAAAUGUUCCUGGUAGAUUGUUUGCGUGUUAAUCAAUUUUGCCAAGGUUGUUGUAGUUGAUCCAUGCAUGAUAUGAGAUUGUUCUUGCCAUGGUUAGUUUCUUGAACAUGUAUUCUUGAUGGUAGUAUGCUUAUUUUGUCAUGCAAUGCCUUGUGUUGAGUGCAUCGAGCUCGCAAACAUGCCUUCAUAAUUCUGUUUAUGUUAUGCCCAGUUUUCUACUAAGUCUGAAUCUGUUAACAAAACUUGCUAUGUUUACAUGGGUGCCAUCGUAUUUUCUGUGCCCUUUUGGCUUAUGGUCAGUAAGGGACUUUUGUUAUAUGCUUUGAGUAGUUUCAUGCCAUGCCUUGAUUUGCUAUGAUAUGUUCCUGUAGCAUGUUGUUAUCUUGCUCUAAACAUUGCUUCCUGAUGUUAAUUCCUGGCAUGUUGUUAUUUUCUCUAAGUCUGUGAUGUUGAUAUCUUUUCCUCUUUUUCCAUGCUUGUUUGAACCUGCUAUUAUGUGAUUUAGCUGUAGCUCAGUGUUCAUCUUUUGUCAAGCAUCUUGAGUAGAUCACUUCCAUGUGCUUUGUUGUUAUGUUAGAGUGCAGUAGCUUAGUUUAUUGUUGCAUUCAGAUGGCAUCGUGCUGUUAAUCGCAGAAUUGUGCCAUUAUUGUUUUGCUUCCCAUUUGCAAACCAUGCAUCCGAUUCCAGUGAUCUUUAUAUCGAUUUCGACCAAAAUCAACUCAUCUUUCCAGCGGCACUCUUGGUUUGCCAAGUUGAUGCCUUGUUCAAUUUUUCCCUUCCGGAGCAUGCAUAUGCAUUGCAUGUCACAUCCCGCAUAUCAUGCCAUGUUUUGCAUCAUGUUGCUUACGCAUUGCACCGUGGUUGAUUGUUGUUUUCCUUUGCUUGUGUUCUUGCCUUGGGUAGAGCCCGGAGACGAGUUCGUGUUCGAGGAACCAGUUGAGUACCCUUAUGAGGAUCAAGCUUACUUCAACUCGGAGAACUUUGCAGGCAAGAUGACCAUACCCUCGAAAUCACUUUUAUCUUUGCUUGCUAGUUGCUCGCUCUAUUGCUAUGCCGCAAUACCUACCACUUGCUUUAUCAUGCCUCCCAUAUGGCCAUGUCAAGCCUCUAACCCACCUUUCCUAGCAAACCGUUGUUUGGCUAUGUUACCGCUUUGCUCAGCCCCUCUUAUAGUGUUGCUAGUUGCAGGUGAAGAUGGAGUUUGUUCCAUGUUGGAACAUGGACAUGUUGGGAUAUCACAAUAUCUCUUAUUUAAUUAAUGCACCUAUAUACUUGUUAAAGGGUGGAAGGCUCGGCCUUAUGCCUGGUGUUUUGUUCCACUCUUGCCGCCCUAGUUUCCGUCAUACCGGUGUUAUGUUCCUUGAUUUUGCGUUCCAUACGCGGUUGGGUUAUAAUGGGAACCCCUUGACAAUUCGCCUUGAAUAAAACUCCUCCAGCAAGGCCCAACCUUGGUUUUACCAUUUGCCACCUAAGCCUUUUUCCCUUGGGUUCUGCAGACUCAAGGGUCAUCUUUAUUUAAACCCCCAGGCCAAUGCUCCUCUGAGUGUUGGUCCAAACUAGAGCACCGUGCAAGACCAUCCCUUGGCAACUUGUGUUACAUCGGCUCCUGUAUGCUUAGCUUAUCCGGUGUGCCCUGAGACCGAGAUAUGUGCAGCUCCUAUCGGGAUCUGUCGGCACCGCGGGUCGUCUUGCUGGUCUUAUUUUACCACUAUCGAGAUGUCUUGUAACUGGGAUUCCGAGUCUGAUCGGGUCUUCCUGGGAUAAGGAAUAUCCUUCAUUGUCCGUGAGAGCUUGUGAUGGGCUAAGUUGGGACACCCCUGCAUGGAUUUGAACUUUCGAAAGUCGUGCCCGCGUUUAUGGGCAGAUGGGAAUUUGUUAAUGUCCGGAUGUAGAAAACUUGACACUUAACUUAACUAAAAUGCAUCAACCGCGUGUGUAGCCGUGAUGGUCUCUUCUAGGCAGAGUCCGGGAAGUGAACACGGUUCUUGUGUUAUGCUUGGAUGUAAGUAGUUUCAGGAUCACUUCUUGAUCACUUCUAGUUCACGAACAUGCUUUGCUUCUCUUCUCGCUCUUAUUUGCGUAAGUUAGCCACCAUAUAUGCUAGUGCUUGUUGCAGCUCCACCUCACUACCUUUUCCUACCCAUAAGCUUAAAUAGUCUUGAUCUCGCGGGUGUGAGAUUGCUGAGUCCCCAUGGCUCACAGAUAAUUCCAAAACAGUUGCAGGUGCCGAUGAUACCAGUGCAGGUGAUUCAACCCAGCUCAGAUGGAAGCUCAAUGAAGAUCGUGUUCAUUGUGUUGUUUCGUUCCCAGUUGGUCAGCAGUGGAGCCUAGUCGGGGCGAUCGGGGAUCUAGCAUUAGGGGUGGUCGUCUUUUAUUUUGGUUCCGUAGUCGGACCUUGAUUGUAUUCUGGAUGAUGUAAUGCUAUAUUUAUGUAUUGUGUGAAGUGGCGAUUGUAAGCCAACUCUUUAUCCCUUUCUUUUUCAGUACAUGGGAUGUGUAAAGAUUACCCCUCUUGCGGCAUGCCUACUAUGCGGUUAUGCCUCUAAGUCGUGCUCCGACGCGUGGGAGAUAUAGCCGCAUCGUGGGUGUUACAAGUUGGUAAUCAGAGCCUUCCCCGACUUAGGAGCCCCAUGCUUGAUCGAAUCGCUAGCGUUGUUGAGUCUAGAAAAAUGUUUUGAAUCUUUUAGGAUUAUAUAUAUCGGAGAGUAGGAUUCGUUUUAUUCCUCAGUCCCUUCAUCGCUCUGGUGAGGCCUCCUGACGUAGAGUUUUGACUCUUCUCUUCUCAAAUUUCACUAAAAAAAAUUUAGGAUCACGCAGGUAUCUUGGAAUCGUUCUGAUAGUCUUGUGACGAGAACAUUGUUCUUGGUGCCUCCUAACAUUUAGGGGUUGUGGCAGUGUCCCGAGGAGUUGAGCUCCCAGGUGUUGUCGUCACAAUUUUAUCGUUGCAGUUCUGGAAUACCCGAGUUUCGCCGACAUCGAAUAUCUCUUUUAUGCAGUUGUUAGUGAGAUAACCUCGAUGCCACCCAGUACUGGGGCGGGAGUUCGGGAGUAUUGCCAUAACUCGUAUAACGGAUGCUUUUCAAAGGUUGAGGUAAACGAUUUUCGAAGGUUUCUUGGUUAUGUGUUGAAGGAUGGAUACAGCUGGAUGUAGGAUUUGUUAGUUUUGGGUGAGAUAUUAUGCUUCCCCUAUAUCCCCAACACCUGAUUGCAUAACCGGAAAGUUCCGGGAGUUUAUAAGUGGGAAUUCAAGUAGCUCCUAGGAUAUCUUUCCGACAGAUGCAUGAUAUGAGAUUGGGGUUCGACGUCUAGUGGUCCGCCUAUCCACGGUUGGUUUUACAGUGGUCUCGUUGUGUCUUAAAGAGUCCUUGGCUAUGCUGACUCGGGGACGCUUCGUAUGUCAUGUGCACUGCCUUGUACAUGAUGGUGUUGUACGAUCGAGCCCGUGUGGGCCCCACCACUAAAACUUCGGACAAAUUCUCUAUCAUAUGUUUGUUCCGGCUUAUUUUGCAAGCCAAUCCUUUGUUUUUGUUUUCAGUUGUGGUAUUCGAGUUGCUUCAAAGUCAAAUGUGGAUUCCAUACCUUUUCCUAAGCGGUGUUCUCAUAUUUCUAUGUGAAUACUAAUCCUUCUUUAUCUUCGAGUUUGCCAUCUCAAUUUCUUCUCAACCGGUGUGUCUCUCUUCAAGUGGAUCCGAUCUUUUUCAACAUCCGCAAGAUCAACUCAAGUCCUCUCAACAUUGUUUCUUUCAUCCGUCUCCAAGUUGCCUUUGUUUUUCCGCCCUCCCAUCCCUUUUUCUUCAAGGACUCAGACUUCUUAAUCAAGUAUCCAUUUUAUUCAUGUGAAGUCUCUCCAUUCUUUUCCGUCAAUGUUCUUAUCCGGUGAUUCUCAAGAAGAUGCUAACGUAGCUUCAAGUUCAUCAUUCUUUGUUUCUUUUAUCUUCUCUGGUGGUUCCUACUCAAGCCUUUCAGUGUUGAUCAUAUUCCUUUCAUUGUUUCAAAUGUUUUCCCAUGCCGGUGCACCUCUUAAUCACUCACCUCUCACUAUUCAUUUGUUCCGGAGGCUGAAGAUAUCUCUAAGAUUCAUGUUUCCACUCUGCAUUCGUUCAAGCUCUUUCGAGAUUGUUAUCUCAUCCAAGCCAUUUUAUUCAACUGGUGCAAUCUCUCUUUUAAAUCCUUCAACGGUGUUUCUUUUCAGUGGGCCCUAACCCACAGGUCUUUUUCCAGGAUCUUACCUGACUCUUCUUAUUUUCCCGGAUCUAUCCUCAAAUUUCUUUUCGAAGUUUGACGUAAGAAUGAAUUAUCAUCAGUCAUAUGUAUUUCUCCAUGAUCUUUCAAAUUCUUUUCAUCGUUGGCUCAACCUUUCCAAUUUUCAUUCCGGAGUGCAUCAAAAAUUCUCAGUGGUGGUUCUCGUCAUCAUUCUCAACAUUUGAAGACCGAAGAAGAGUUUUUCCUCCCAAUCAUAUCCGUUCUCUUGAAGAUUCGUGGUUCAAGCUUGUUGCAUCCUCUCAUAAUUGUUUUCGAUUGUGAGAAUAUUUUUCACUUAUCCGGAGCAAUUCAAGAUUCUUUUUAGUUUGAUUCGUCCAAAGCCCAUCAUUUCAGAAGAUUUAUUCAUUUCCAGCUUUUAGCUCGCAUUCUCCAAAUCUUACCGGUGCAUCAUUCAAGUAUUCUCUUAUCAGCUCGUGAUCUUUUCGUUCUCAUGUAUCUAAAUCCCCUCAAGUAUUUUCAUUCGUUCUCUAAUUCUUCCCGGUGUUUCUUUAUCUUUUCUUCAAUCGUUUUCAAAUUCUUACGGUGGACCGUUCAAGAUUACUUUCCUCUUGUUAUCAUAUCAAGUCAUUCGUUGUUUUCUAAAUCCUACCGGUGGUUUGUGGUGGUGCUAUAUCUAUCUUAAUCCUUUCUACGAGAAUAAGUAGUAUGCCAAAUCCGUUGUUUUUCACCAAUUUAAAUUGGUGAAGGAUAAGCAUAAUGUAAUUCUUAUUCUUGUUUCAUCGAGUAAAUUCAAUUUCUGCUUUCCGAAGUGGUUCAUCAUAUCACAUUCUCGGUUUGAGAUACUUUAUCUUUUAUUCCGGAGUUCCAAGCUUCCACUUUAUCUCGUCGCAAAGCUUCAUCUAAUCAUUGCAAGGCUUCAAUCUUAUUAUUUUCAUCCUUCUUUUCAUUUUGAUCAUCCUUUUGUUACCAGAGUUCUUCAUGGAUGUUCUACAUGAUGGUUCACCAAGGAUUUCAUUCCUUCUCGAAGUGUUCAUCAAGAUUAUUUUCAAAGGAGCUCAAGCAUUCUUCAUCUUGCAAUCCGGAGUGUAAUUCUUUCUACCGUAUCAUUGGAGGUGGUAUUAUGUCAUUCUUGAUAAUCUGAGUUCAUAUUUCAUGAUUCACAUGUUGUUAAGAAUGAGGUAUUUUAAAUCCAUUAAUCUCUUCAUUGGAGUUAUAUUGGGUUAUAUUUCACCUAAAGCCUUCCCUAAGGAUUGUUGCUAUUUAUGGUGCUUAUAACUGAUCCAAAUUUUUCAUUUAUCCUCCCGGUGAAAUAAGUUUCUCGUCUCCUUGUCCAUAUCAAUCCAAUUCUUUUUCCCGUGAGUGGCAGGUUGUCACCUCAUAAUUUGAGAUGUAUUAUAUAAGACCAUAUCAAGCUUAUUCUUUUCGUUGUUGAUAAUCCAACAACUCCGUUCUAGCAUUUGUUGUAAGCGUGCUCUACCAAGAUCUUGUUUUCUCCUCCGUUCAUUCCAUUUCAUCCUCUCAUUUCUUCCGGAGGCAUGGUGAUGUUGCUCUCUUCAACCCAUCUUCUUGUUUUGUCAAGAUCAUUUUCUUUCCUCUGCUUAAGUUCUUUUUGCCCUAUCAAGUCUUGCAUCACUUUUCAACCGGAGUGCUGCCCGAAUUUGUUCUUCUUCGUUCCUCUUUUCUGACGGAGAUUGUCAACUUCGUUCAUCUCCGUUGUAUUCUUUUCUCGUAGUUGUUCAACCUUUCAAGGUUCUUUGGUUUCACUCGUUUGUCAAAGAAGAAACUUAGUUUUACCUCUUCUCUUCCUCUUCCGUUUUCCCUCCGGUGCCAUCCUAGAUCUCGGGACGAGAUCCUCUCAUAGUGGUGGAGUGUUGUAAUGCCCCGAGACCGAUGUGCCAGGUGUCUUCUAGUUAUUCGCUGUUGUUGCCUUGUCAUUUGUUUGCGUGUCAUGCAUUUCAUAUCUUGUCAUCAUGUGCAUCACAUUUGCAUACGUGUUCAUCUCAUGCAUCCGAGCAUUUUCCCCGUUGUCCGUUUUGCAAUCCGGCACUCCUACGUCCUCCGGCGCCUCAUUUUGCCUCUUUUCGUGUGCGGGUGUUAAACGUUCUCGAAUUGGACCAAGAUUGGCCAAGCGGCCUUAGUACACUACCGGUAGACCGCCUGUCAAGUUUCGUGCCAUUUGGAGUCCGUUUGAUACUCCAACGGUUAACCAGGGAACCGUAAAGGCCUCGUGUGUGUUGCAGCCCAACACCCCUCCAAAGUGGCCCAAAAUCCAUCCAAACCCCCUCCAUCCUCUCGGUCGUUUGAUCACGAUCGUGUGGCCGAAAACUGCACCUCUUUUGGACUCUCCUAGCUCCUCCUACCUAUAAAUAUGUGCUCUCCUCCGAAAAUUCCGCGCAGAUGAAACCCUAGUCCUCUUCCUCCUCGCGCCGCCGGACAUGUCCAUCCCGUCGCCGGACAUGUCCACCGCCGCCGCCACAUCACCCGGACCAAUCCGGGGACGCCACCUCAGCUCCGCCCUCCCCCCCCCNNNNNNNNNNNNNNNNNNNNNNNNNNNNNNNNNNNNNNNNNNNNNNNNNNNNNNNNNNNNNNNNNNNNNNNNNNNNNNNNNNNNNNNNNNNNNNNNNNNNNNNNNNNNNNNNNNNNNNNNNNNNNNNNNNNNNNNNNNNNNNNNNNNNNNNNNNNNNNNNNNNNNNNNNNNNNNNNNNNNNNNNNNNNNNNNNNNNNNNNNNNNNNNNNNNNNNNNNNNNNNNNNNNNNNNNNNNNNNNNNNNNNNNNNNNNNNNNNNNNNNNNNNNNNNNNNNNNNNNNNNNNNNNNNNNNNNNNNNNNNNNNNNNNNNNNNNNNNNNNNNNNNNNNNNNNNNNNNNNNNNNNNNNNNNNNNNNNNNNNNNNNNNNNNNNNNNNNNNNNNNNNNNNNNNNNNNNNNNNNNNNNNNNNNNNNNNNNNNNNNNNNNNNNNNNNNNNNNNNNNNNNNNNNNNNNNNNNNNNNNNNNNNNNNNNNNNNNNNNNNNNNNNNNNNNNNNNNNNNNNNNNNNNNNNNNNNNNNNNNNNNNNNNNNNNNNNNNNNNNNNNNNNNNNNNNNNNNNNNNNNNNNNNNNNNNNNNNNNNNNNNNNNNNNNNNNNNNNNNNNNNNNNNNNNNNNNNNNNNNNNNNNNNNNNNNNNNNNNNNNNNNNNCCACCGCGCGCCACCCCGCCGCUGCACGCUGGCCACCCCACUCCGCCACGCCUCCAUACCUCGCCGGCGCCCCCUUUUUCUUCCUCGCCGGAGCCGGCCGCACCCGUCGUCGGAGCUGCGCGCCGCCCUCGCCGGAGCUCCGUCCGGCCGGAUCUGGAGGUGGACCAGAUCCACCAGGACAUCGAACCAAACGUCGCGCCACGUCUUGGAUCUCCUCGUCCCGCACGUCGCCAUCCCGUUGACUUUUCUUGGAGGUCUAUUUUUCUCUAAGUCCCUUCUGUGUGAUAUUUUCAGGCCAUGUUCAUCGCAUCAUAACUUCAUCAUCAUAGCUCUGUUUCAUGCGCAUGAUAUAUCGAAAUGUUCAUCAUGAUGUCCUCUUCAUUUUGUUACAUUGCACCAUGCUUGUUUGAGUCCAUCCUGAUGCCCUAAUUGCUAUUGCAAGAGUGCUUCAUAAUGUUAGGAGCUGAUUCUUAUCAGUUUAUGAGCAUUUGUCAUUUUUGCCAUGAUUAUUGUGUGCCUCCUAUGAGCAUGAGCUCUACAUGUGUUUUGGGCCAUGCCAUGCCAUCUUUACAAGGAUGUAUGCCAUGUAUUUUUGUGAUCAAUGUGGUGACUAGCACAAGCAUGCAAAGUAGCUCUCAUGAUAUUGCUGAUUUCAGAGACUUAGAAUUUCACCAAGUCUUUGCUCUGCUGUUAUUUUUUAUGCCAUGUAUUCAUGUUGCUACAGAGUGAUCCAUGCUUCAUUUGAGUAUGUUCAGUAAGGAUGAUUUUGAGAUAUUGUUGUGCUCUAUCCAUCCAUGUCCCUGUUUGCAUUUAUGGAGUGCCCUAGCAUGACUCGAUCUUGCUCUACUUUUGCCAUAAAAUGUUUCUGGCAGAUUGUUUAUGUGUUAAUCAAUUUUGCCAAGGUUGUUGUAGUUGAUCCAUGCAUGCUAUGAAAUUGUUCUUGCCAUGGUUAGCUUCUUGAACAUGUAUUCUUGAUGGUAGUAUGCUUAGUUUGUCAUGCAAUGCCUUGUAUUGAGUGCAUCAAGCUCGCAAACAUGCCUUCAUAAUUCUGUUUAUGCUAUGCCCAGUUUUCUGCUAAGUCUGAAUCUGUUAACGAAACUUGCUAUGUUUACAUGGGUCCCAUCGUAUUUUCUGUGCCCUUUUGGCUUAUGGUCAGUAAGGGACUUUUGUUAUAUGCUUUGAGUAGUUUCAUGCCAUGCCUUAAUUUGCUAUGAUAUGUUCAUGUAGCAUGUUGUUAUCUUGCUCUAAACAUUGUUUCCUGAUGUUAAUUCCUGACAUGUUGUUAUUUUCUCUAAGUUUGUGAUGUUGAUAUCUUUUGCUCUUUUGCCAUGCUUGUUUAAACCUGCUAUUGUGUGAUUUAGCCGUAGCUCAGUGUUCAUCUUUUGUCAAGCAUCUUGAGUAGAUCAUUGCCAUGUGCUUUGUUGUUAUGUUGAGUGCAGUAGCUUAGUUUAUUGUUGCAUUCUAGAUGGCAUCGUGAGUUAAUCGCAUAAUUGUGCCAUUAUUGUUUUGCUUGCCAUUUGCAAACCGUGCAUCCGAUUCCGGUGGUCUUUAUAUCGAUUUCGACCGAAAUCAACUCAUCUUUCCAGUGGCACUCUUGGUUUGCUAAGUUGAUGCCUUGUUCAAUUUUUUCCUUCAGGAGCACGCAUAUGCAUUGCAUGUCACAUCCCGCAUAUCAUGCCAUGUUUUGCAUCAUGUUGCUUGCGCAUUGCUCCCUGGUUGGUUGUUGUUUUCCUUUGCUUGUGUUCUUGCCUUGGGUAGAGCCCGGAGACGAGUUCGUGUUCGAGGAACCAGUUGAGUACGCUUACGAGGAUCAAGCUUACUUCAACUCGGAGAACUUUGCAGGCAAGAUGACCAUACCCUCGAAAUCACUUCUAUCUUUGCUUGCUAGUUGCUCGCUCUAUUGCUAUGCCGCAAUACCUACCACUUGCUUUAUCAUGCCUCCCAUAUUGCCAUGUCAAACCUCUAACCCACCUUUCCUAGCAAACCGUUGUUUGGCUAUGUUACCGCUUUGCUCAGCCCCUCUUAUAGCGUUGCUAGUUGCAGGUGAAGAUGGAGUUUGUUCCAUGUUGGAACAUGGACAUGUUGGGAUAUCACAAUAUCUCUUAUUUAAUUAAUGCACCUAUAUACUUGUUAAAGGGUGGAAGGCUCGGCCUUAUGCCUGGUGUUUUGUUCCACUCUUGCCGCCCUAGUUUCUGUCAUAUCGGUGUUAUGUUCCUUGAUUUUGCGUUCCUUACGCGGUUGGGUUAUAAUGGGAACCCCUUGACAGUUCGCCUUGAAUAAAACUCCUUCAGCAAGGCCCAACCUUGGUUUUACCAUUUGCCACCUAAGCCUUUUUCCCUUGGGUUCUGCAGACUCAAGGGUCAUCUUUGUUUAAACCCCCGGGCCAAUGCUCCUCUAAGUGUUGGUCCAAACUAGAGCACCGUGCAGGGCCAUCCCUUGGCAACUUGGGUUACGUCGGCUCCUGUACGCUUAGCUUAUCCGGUGUGCCCUGAGAACGAGAUAUGUGCAGCUCCUAUCGGGAUUUGUCGGCACAACGGGUGGUCUUGCUGGUCUUGUUUUACCAUUGUCUAGAUGUCUUGUAACCGGAAUUCCGAGUCUGAUCGGGUCUUCCUGGGAGAAGGAAUAUCCUUCGUUGACCGUGAGAGCUUGUGAUGGGCUUAGUUGGGACACCCCUGCAGGGAUUUGAACUUUCGAAAACCGUGCCCGCGGUUAUGGGCAGAUGGGAAUUUGUUAAUAUCCGGUUGUAGAAAACUUGACACUUAACUUAACUAAAAUGCAUCAACCGCGUGUGUAGCUGUGAUGGUCUCUUCUCGGCGGAGUCCGGGAAGUGAACACGGUUCAUGUGUUAUGCUUGGACAUAAGUAGUUUCAGGAUCACUUCUUGAUCACUUCUAGUUCACGACCGUGCUUUUGCUUCUCUUCUCGCUCUUAUUUGCGUAAGUUAGCCACCAUAUAUGCUAGUGCUUGCUGCAACUCCACCUCACUACCUUUUCCUACCCAUAAGCUUAAAUAGUCUUGAUCUUGCGGGUGUGAGAUUGCUGAGUCCCCGUGGCUCACAGAUACUUCCAAACAGUUGCAGGUGCCGAUGAUACCAGUGCAGGUAACGCAACCCAGCUCAGAUGGGAGCUCGAUGAAGAUCGUGUUCGUUGUAUUGUUUCGUUCCCAGUUGGUCAGUAGUGGAGCCUAGUCGGGGCGAUCGGGGAUCUAGCAUUAGGGAUGGUCAUCUUUUAUUUUGGUUCCGUAGUCGGACCUUGAUUGUAUUCUGGAUGAUGUAAUGCUAUAUUUAUGUAUUGUGUGAAGUGGCAAUUGUAAGCCAACUCUUUAUCCCUUUCUUUUUCAGUACAUGGGAUGUGUAAAGAUUACCCCUCUUGCGACAUGCCUACUAUGCGGUUAUGCCUCUAAGUCGUGCUCCAACACGUGGGAGAUAUAGCCACAUCGUGGGUGUUACAGCCGUGCCUCUCAGAAAGGAGAAAAAUACACGUUUUCUGUUUUUUUUCUUUCGCGAGAGUCAUGAUUUUGCUUCCACGAAAGGCACGGUUGUGCUUUCAAGAAAGUCACAGCCGUGCCUCUCAGAAACGAAAAAAAACGUGUUUUCUGUUUUUUUUCCUUCCACGAGAGUCACGGUUUUGCUUCCAUGAAAGGCACGGGCGUGAUUUUCGCGAGAGGCACGGACGUGCCUCUUUCGGAAAGGGAAAAAACCGUGCUCCUGGUUUCGGUUUUUUCACCCGAUUUUUUUCGUUUGGUUUUUUCGUGAAAAAAGUUCUUUUAAACCUAUCAACAUGGGAUCUAGUUUUGAAGAUCUCGACGCUAGGAAUCCAAUAGUGAAAACGGUUCGAGAUUUGGACGCACGGUUUAAAAGAUAAAACGUUUUGAAUAAACGAAUCUACGAAAAAAGGGAAAACUUCCAGGUUGCGACAAGUGACAUGUUGCAUGUGCGCCACUUGCCGCGAUCUGGGAAAGUGGAGUGUUCUUUGCAACGAGUACUCCUUAAUUGGUGAUUUCGCAAACAAACAGUCCAGCCCAAAAAAGACAAACAGUCUAACAGGCCCGACAGAAACAACUGAAGAGAUGAAAGAGGAAAGUAUCGUUUUCCCCCUGAAAUCCUCUCUGAUGGAUCAAUUCCCCCCUCAACUCUAAUACCGGAUCAAUCAGCCCCUCAAAUCUCUAAAACCGGACCAAUUCCCCCCUAAAGUGGUUUUGAACUUGAUUUUGAGUGGUUUUGACCCAGACCGCGUACCCGCUCUGCUCUCCUUUGUUUCGUCUCGCUUCAGGUGGUGCCAGUCAGCAUCGUCGAGUACGCGCUCCAGGGCUCCGCCUCCUCCCCGCGCGACGCCUCCACUGACUCAUCCUUGUCCUCCUCCACCUCUAGCUGCUAGGCCGGGAACGAGAAGAGGAUGAACUGGAGCUCCUUCGACAUCGGCGAGUACCAUGUGGCCGUCGCGCAGUGGUGCCGGGGCGAACGCGGCCACGCAGACCGGCGAGAGACGCCGUCGGCACCGGGGCCCAGAGCCGUCUCCGCCACAAGAGCCUACGACGGAGCUCGAAGACGACGAGAUCACGUUGCCGCCAUCCUCCAGCAGCCCCGACACGCUGGAGACGCUCAUCGAGAACGACGCCUGCGUGGUUGCCGCCUCGAACACCGUCGCCGCUCGUCGGGAGGAAGAGAAUGCGGGCUUAGUGCAGCAGAGCGUGAUCACGGGCGGCCGGAUGAGCGCGUCGACGGUGCUGAUGCAGUUCGUCUCCUGCGCUGGCCAAGCGGGACGCCGGUCAGUGCGGUGCGAGGCACACAGAGCGGUUCCCGCACUGGGCAGUCGGACUUGAGCAGGAGCAUGGCAUCAGAUGGCUUCUCGGGAAGCAUCGGCGUCCGUGUAGGCAUGGAGUGGGAGUACUUCUGCGGCAGCCUGGUCGAGACCAUGAAGACGGCAAGCGGCGAGCAUGCCAGCCACGGAGGCGAGCUGGGCGCACUGAAGACGCGAAGUGCACAGCCAUAACCGAGAGAAGUGCACGAUCUGGGUCAAAACCACUCAAAAUCAAGUCCAAAACCACUUUAGGGGGGAAUUGAUCCGGUUUAAGAGAUUUGAGGGGUUGAUUGAUCCGGUAUUAGAGUUGAGGGGGAAAUUGAUCCAUCAGAGAGGAUUUCGGGGGGAAAACGAUACUUUCCUCGAGAAAAAACAACAAAAGCCCACAACUCAAGCCCAUAACGAUGGAAAUCAAAACCCAGCAACUAAGGAGACAAAACGGGCCAAAUCUUAUGGUAGAUGACAUGAUUCUAAAAAAAGAUGGUAGAUGACAUCAGCCGACUAUCCCAGUUGACUGAUUCCUAGACUCAACCUUAUUACAAUGGUCUAAAAAAUUCUCAUGCAUGUUCAUCGUGCCAACCACGCUAGUAUGGAGGCGUGCGGAAAUUUGGCUCCACCUUGUCAUGUACAUGUUCUCUUUUCAACAACUUUUCCAUCACUUGAUUUCUUAACUGUCUCAGCUUCAGUAGCGUCAACAAUUGGUGAUGCCACGCCCGUAUCAGUACCUGUUGGAUGCUUAAACGACACAUGCCAUUGCGUGUUAGAAGGUUUUUCCCCGAAAAAGAGAUAAAGACGAUGACGAACACCAGUGGAUCCUUUUUAGGUAAGGGUAACUAGUCUAUGAGAAAGUCGGGCGGCAUUAUAUCUCUCUUAUAGCGAGACCUACCAUGCUCUCGCAUCACACGCCUCACUUAAUGGGCCGGCCCAGGCCCGUGGGAGGCCACAACCUAUUUUUCAUGUUUUAUGUUUUCAUUUUUCUUUCUUUUUUUCUUUUGUUUAUGCUUCCAAUAUUCUAAAUAAAUAUAUUACAAAAAACACUCAACAUAAGACAUUUGAAAAAAUGUUAAGCAAGCAUUUGAAAAUGCUAAAUGUGUAUAAAGAAAAUGUAUCUCAUGUACACGAAAAAUGUAUACAAAAAAUAUACAGUUUGUGUGAUAAAAGUUGAUCAUCUAUUUAAAAAAUUCUUAAUCAAGCAUAUGGAAAACAUGUUAAAUAAUAUCUGAAACAGUUAAUCUAGUAUUUUAAAAAUAUUAAAUAUGUAUAUUAAAUGUUGGUCAUGUAUUAAAAAAUUAUCAAACUUGUAUUUGAAAUAUGUUAAUCAAGCUUUUGAAAAUGUGCAUAGAAAAAAAUUGAUCAUAUAUUAAUAAAAAAUCUUCUAUUUGAAAAUUAUUAAUCAAGCAUUUGAAAAAAACAAAAGAUGUGUAUACAAAACAAUGUUGACCAUGCAAUAAAAAUAUAUUAACCAAGCACUUGAAAAUGUUAAAUGUGCAUGAAGAAAAUGUUCAGCAUGUAUAUAAAAAAUAUAAAAUAUGGGAAAAAAGUUGAUCAUGUGUUUAGAAAUUACUAAAAACGCAUUUAAAUAAAUUAAACAUGUAUUUAGAUUUUUUCAAUCAAGCAUUUGCAUUUUUUAAAAUGUCUAUAGAGAAAAUGUUGACCAUGUAAUGAAGAAAUCUUAAUCUUGUGUUUUGAAUAAUGUUAAUCAAGCAUUGAAAAUGUCAAAAUGUGUAUAGAAGUUUUUUUUGACCAUAUAUUUUGAACAUGUUUGUUUUGUAUUUAAAAAAUGGUAAUGAAGCAUUUGAAAAUAUUAAAAAAAACUAUAGAAUAUUUUUGACAAUGUAUUAAAAAUUAUGGAACAUGCAUCUUUAAAAUGUUAAUCAUGUAUUAGAAAAAUGUUAUUGAUAUCUAAAAAUGUAGGCUGAAAACCAAAAGAAAAACCAAGAAUAACAAAAAACUAUGAAACCAAAAAAGGAAACUAAAAAACUAAAGAAAAAAGAAACGAAAAAGAGAACAAAGAAACAAGUGCAAAAAGAAUGAAAGACAAUGAGAACCUACACAUAAAUACAGAGAAACAAAAAAAACUGCUGAAAUGCGUUGGAAACCAGGAAAGAAACAAUAAACCCAAAAAAUGAAGGAAAUGAGAAAGAAAAUAAAAAACAACAAAUAGAAGAAAAACAGGCACACGAAAGAAAAAUAAAAAAAGAAAACAAAAAUCCAGAAAAAACCUAGAAAAGAAACAAAAAAUAGAUGGAAAAAAGAGAAACCCAUGAAAACCGAGAAAUAAAUGAAGGAAAUCGGUUGAAAACAAAUAAAAAUGAAAAAAAACGGUUGAUGAAAUAAAAGAAUACGGAAGUAAGAAUAGAAAAAUGAGAAAAAAAAAUCAAAGAAAGCGGUGCCAACGUGAGUGUCUCGAUCGAGACCAGAUCGAAUGGAAAAAAUGCAGACAAAACUGGGUCGUUCCAAUGGCUAAACGCGGGGGGUUAGAUUUCAGGCGACAUCGACAUAUAUCUUGUUAUAAGCGUGAUAUAGUCCCCAGCGGCAAAAGUCUACAUUAGAGUUUGGGGACUUGGGCGAGCAAGCCUAGGAAGCUCAAAUGAUUUUGGGCCAAUUUGGGCAUAUUGAUUUUCGUAUUGUGAAUGUUUUUUUUUCAUAUAGUUGGACAAACUUUACGUAGGCUGGCUUUAGACAAAUCCUAGACCAUUCUCGAAUUCUCACACGAGGACGGACAACAGCGUCAAAACUUAAAUAGAAGACCUGAAAAACGAGAGGAGGAAAAAGCUAUACAAAUCCCAUAAAGCUUGGCGCUACGAUGAAGUCAUUUUCCCUAGCCAACUUUCCUUUGUCAUCUUGCAAACGGCCCAGAGCUUGUCCACAUCUCCACCCUCCCAUCCACAAGAAGGCCCAACCCAAGCUUUCAGGAGCCCCACCUGUCAGUAACCCACCCCAACCCUAGAACCGCCAUUCCUUUACCUCCAUCUUGACCCCACAUGUCAUUCACCCAUCAACGCCCGAGCAUAUAUAUACCCAGCUGGGCCUAAGCCCACCACGCGCCUCCUUCCCCUCUCCAACCUCCCAAAAAUAAAGGAGAAAAAGUAGAGAGAGAGAGAGAGAGAGAAACGCGAAACCCCAAAUCGAUGGCCGCCGCCGCCCUCCUCCGCCGCUCGCCGGCGGCGCGCGCCCUCCUUUCGCCGGCCCUCUCCUCCCGCCUCGUCGCCUCCAAGCCCCACUCCUCAUCCCCCGCGCCGCCGCCGCCCUCGUCGAAGCCCGCCAGCACCAAGACCUUCUCGAUCUACCGCUGGGACCCCGACUCCCCGUCGACCAAGCCCCACCUCAAGGACUACAAGGUGGACCUCUCCGACUGCGGCCCCAUGGUGCUCGACGCGCUCCUCAAGAUCAAGAACGAGCAGGACCCAUCCCUCACCUUCCGCCGGAGCUGCCGUGAGGGCAUCUGCGGCAGCUGCGCCAUGAACAUCGACGGCGACAACGGGCUGGCCUGCCUCACCAAGAUCUCCUCGGAGGCGGCCGGGGCCUCCACGAUCUCGCCGCUCCCCCACAUGUUCGUCGUCAAGGACCUCGUCGUCGACAUGACCAACUUCUACAACCAGUACAAGAGCGUGGAGCCGUGGCUCAAGCGCAAGGACCCGCCGUCGGCCGGUGGGAAGGAGAUCUACCAGUCCAAGGCCGACCGCGCCAAGCUUGAUGGCAUGUACGAGUGCAUCCUCUGCGCCUGCUGCUCCACAUCCUGCCCGUCCUACUGGUGGAACCCAGAGGAGUAUCUCGGCCCUGCCGCACUGCUCCAUGCCAACAGGUAUACCUGCACCUCCCUCAUAAGCUCUUGAUAUUGUGAAUUGUGAUGAUAUGCUUGAGUAUGUUGCGUCUGUGUUUUGGAUCUAUGCUUGAUCUGUUGGUGUGUCAUGCUGUGCUUGCUGUGAAAUGGUUAUGAGAUGAUGCGUAGGGUGGUUCUAUCUCGCUUAGGUAGUUUGGUGAGAAACUAAGUGCGUUUUAUCUAGGAGAAUGGUUCGCUGGUCUGAUGUGGCGCUGAAUUAUUUGGUACGUUUAUGCAAUGAUCAUCUGUUACUUCUUUGCUAGCUCCCUGGCAAAGUGGUGUAGAUGAUCGUUUGUUGGAUAGUGUGAAAUUCCCGUUUGGUUGAAGAUCGCCUAUACAUAUUAAGGUAUCAGUGAUUGUUUAUAUUUUUAGGUCCAUUUAUGUAAUGAUAAUCUGUUACAUUUUUGCUAGCCCCCCUGUGAAGCGGUGUAGAUGAUCAUUUGGUGGAUAGUGUGAAAUUUCAGUUUGGUUAAAGAAUGACUGAUACAUUUUAAGGCAUGAGUGACUGUUUGUAUUCCUUUUUAUCUGGUCUUUGGCUGAUUGAACUGGAAGUUGAUGCCACUGCUGGAAAUAAUCAUGAGUUUGUAGUUUUAGUAGUCUGCUUCUUCAUGACGUCGUGAGUCUUUUUCCUUACCUGAUUCUUGAUGACAUUGGAAGCCCUCCCCCCAAGUAGUCUGAUUCUUGACGAGGCCUUGAUUUUGAAGUUACUUUUAUUUGUGGUGGCCUCUCUUUCAGUAUAGAGCAUGCUAGUUUCCCUUUACCAGAAAAUUAUGGUUAUGUUCUACCAAGAUUAAAAUGAUAAUUGUCUAAUAUAUUUAAUGCCUUUUGCUGUAAGCUUUAGGAUGUUGUUAAGUCCAUGACACGUUCACCCGUUCACCCUUUUUAGGCUUCCGCUGUGGGGGACGCUAAUGAAACCGAAACCCAGCAUGCUUCCGCUGUGGGGGGCGGUAAUGAAACCAAAACCCAGCAUGUUCAUGCACGUCCAAGCUCGAGGAUACCAUGGGGUCUCAGUCUCAGAGAAGAGAAACUUGCGGGAUCACAAACGUAGAAUUCUUGCAGCAAAAUAUGAGCUGAGAGGAAAGCUUUAUAAGGCUGUCUGUAGGGACCCUGAACUUCCAUCAGAUAUGCGGGAUAAGUUUCGCUAUAAGUUGUCCAAGCUGCCAAGAAAUAGUAACAUGACACGUCUUAGAAACCGCUGUAUUUUCACGGGCCGCUCUCGUGGUGUCUACCAGAAAUUCCGCAUGUCUCGUAUCGUGUUCCGCACCUUGGCAAACAAGGGUGAACUGAUGGGUGUUAAGAAAGCGUCUUGGUAGAUGUUAACAGCUGGGUAGAAGAAAGAACUAGCUCUUCAGUAGUCCAGCAAAAUAAGGUUGCCCUCUUUCAGUGUUUGAUUCCUGAAACUAUCUGUCAAGCUUUUUUUGCCAACAAACGGCAUGGUUCUCUCUUUAUUUAGUUGAAGCAGUGUAAUGUACUGUUUUUUAUGCUAUUCAGCAUUUAUGAAGCUAAAGAUUCUGUUGUUUAAGGUUUCUACAAGCUGGCUGUUUGAUUCAGUAUUUAUCUGAUCUGGCUUUACUUCAUGUUUUCACUGAGAUUGCAUAUCUGAUCCUCUGAUUUAUCAUAUUUGUCACCAUGCUCCUGUCAUAACAUAUAAUUUAAAACAUGAUCUGAUAUAAGGCACAUGAAAAUUUGAAUAUCUUUUGACUAAUAAUUGCAACUCCCCUUAGUCAGAAGAAACUGGAAACAGAAUCAGAGGUUUUAGUCGUUUGUCACUUGUACAAGCAUCUCAUUUCACAUAUCUGCAAGUGUUUCAAAUGUCUUCAGCCCUUUGGAUUGGGCUUACGCCUGUAGAGUCUGAGAGAUAUGACAUGCUUCUUUGGCGUGUGCCGUAAACACAUUCGUCCUUCCAGGUGGAUCCAAGACAGCCGUGAUGAGUUCACAAAGGAGCGCCUCGACUCCAUCAACGACGAGUUCAAGCUGUACCGCUGCCACACCAUCAAGAACUGCACGCAUGCCUGCCCCAAGGGGCUCAACCCGGCGAAGCAGAUCGACACAAUAAAGAAGCUGCAGCUCGGAGCCUGAGUGAGGUCUACUACCCCGUGGAGAUGUCGAAAGUUGUAAUCAGCUGUCAUUUGGUUUGUUUUGGCUCCGUGGUGACGAAUAAUGGGUGGAAACGCAGGAUAUUCCCCGCUUGACGAUUCCGUGUAGGGAGUGAAUAAUUGCUACCAGAUUUUAUUCUUUUCGUGCUGUAUCUAGUUUGGUGGUUCAUCGUUGAUCAUCUUUUGAUGCAUGUCCAUGCUUCAAGUAAUUCAUAAACUUUUGAGUAUGUGUUGUCUACUUCCUUCGUCUGAGGAACAUAAACGCUUACAG